rnacentral:lncRNA from 1 species
GGAAGACCAAAGGGUGGAAGAACAAGUCAAAGGGGACGUAAGUUAAAUGAAGGGAUAUUUCAUUUUCCACAUUUUUUAAUAUAAGAUAGUUUUUUUUUUUAAUGCCAUAAAAGUGGUGUCAAGGCAUCUACUAGUUCGUAAACAUGUUCCAACUUCCAAGCAAGUCAAGUGCCAUAAAGGACUUCGGUAUGAAGGCGAAGAAAUUAUUGGAUGAUUGGGAAGUGGAUGGGACAUUUGAGAAGAUGAGUUGGAGAUCCAAAUAUCAAGGCUAGUGGGCAUUUGUUUUUGCCCUUUUUUUCCUUCUUGUUUUGGUGGCAACUUUCCACCCAUGAGAACAAUCUCAGGACGUGCAUUUGGAUAAUGUACGUCGGUUUCUGCUUUGACCAUUCUUAAUAGAGAUUCUAAAUACAUAUUCUUUGACAAGUUUUAAGCAAUUCCUACCAAUUUUUAAUGGAUAAUAACAAAAAAAAAAAUCCCUUGUGAUAAACUUACUAUACAGAAAAACUCCUCAUAAUUUCAAAACGUAUGUUUUGAACUAAAUUAUAAAGGUAACGAAAUCCAUUAAAAUUAAUGGAAAUGAAUUAUUAGAACCUAAAAAAUUUUUUAUACCUAUUUUUUAAUAAAUAUACAUGGUCUACCCUUCAAUCCCUAAUUCUCUAACUCUAGAGAAUGAAACAAAUGAUAUUGUUGAAAUGCCUUUUGUUCAGUUAUAUCAGAGUAUUUUUGUCAUUUCGUCCGUCUCCGUUAAGUUUAACGAAUUCCGUCGCCUUUACCAUUUAGUUCAAAAUAUAAGAUGUCAAUUUGUAUAUUUUAAAAUCAUAGAGGACUUUUCUAUAUAUUAACUUUUAUCACUGGAGACUUUUUUAUUUUUCACCCACUUUUAAUACAUGGAAGGAUUAAUACAUAAAAGCAAAUUUAAAUGGGCAAAUUUGUAGUUAAUUAUAUGAGUGCCCCCGACCCCACCCCACCCCAAAUGGAGAUUGGUCAAGCAAUGAGAAACUAACGAAUUGUGUUGGAAUUUUAUGGGUAGACAUGAUCGGUUACGUUUGGACCACUGGGUGAAUGAAAAAUGCGUGGCAUUGGCUGAGGGGUCACAUUCGAUAUUUAAAAAUUCAAUGAUUCAAAUUAUGUCGCUACAAUUUAAAUUAUUAGGUAUUUAAAAACUAGAUCUAUCCAUGUUAACUAUUGAGUACUUAAAAAUCAGGUUUAUCCAAAAUUUGGCUUUGACUUGGAACCCUUUGAGAAUACGUGUUUAUUUUCUGAAGACUGAAGAAUUAUAUACAGUAAUUUCGGCUUUUAGUCAACAAAUCUGAAACAAAGUAGGAGUUUCAUUCAAAUGUGUCGGUUAAUAUAUUAAUGCUCUGAUUUCCUUUGGAAAAUGAUAUGAUAUUGUCGGAGCAUUUUUGUUUUACAAAAAAUUAAAGAAUACCUUUUGCAAGUCAAAACACAAUUCUGACUUGAUAAUGAAACGAUUGAAAAUUUAUUCAGGAAUUGUUAUGGUAUUAAAAUUUGAUCGAAAUGUGAAUUUUUUUAACUAAGAAAUGUUGUCGUUGUCAAUUAAUACCAACCUGACCAGCUACCUGGAGAAAUCAGACUAGCAAGUUGCAAGCUGCAAACAGAAACGUGUACGCUGGUCCUGACUUUUUUUUUUUUUUUUUUUUUUUUCGACACAGGGGUGUUCGGGUCAAUCCUUACUGGACCCGACUAAUCCCCUCUGCGGCGCGGACCCGACGCCCCAACUCGGCCCGAACGCGUUAAGUGUGCGGAGGAAUCCAGCGGAGCGGAGACUCGAACUUGUGACCUCAAGGUUCACUGGUGAGAGGCGCUGCCGCUGGACCAUUCACGCGGGGCAUGCUGGUCCUGACUUCAGACCGUCAUUUUUUUUUUUUUUUGGGUUGGAUCAUACAUCGGUUGCGGGAAGGGACAGGUCCAAUUAAAUCCUAUCCUGUCCUAUCCUAAUCCUAUCCUAUCCUAAGAGAAUAAAAGAGGGAAUGGAGUUAGGAACAGUACUUUCGUCCCCUAUCAACACCAUUAGUGUGUGGAUUGUUUGGUCAUUUCGUCCCCUAAUGGGUUGCACGUGUUUCUUGCUGCAAUUCGUUGAUGCUUUUUUCCUGACCAUGCUACCCUUGGAUUUCACUUUUACCCUCGAUGGAGUAAUUAGCCAAAAGAAAUAGAGCUGGCUUUAUGGUCUUUUGGUUCGGUCUAACUCUUGUAGACACGGAUUAAUUCCACUUUGUCCCCCCAAACUUUGGACGGUUAUUCACUUUAGUCCCUAAACUUUAGAAUAGGACAAGUAAAUCCCUAAACUUAUAAAUACCUCCCAAUUAAGGAAAAUUGUUAACAAAAUCCUGAAUGCCAUGGUGGUCGAAGUGUCCCAUUUUAUAAGAGUUUAGGGAUUUAAGUGUCCGAUUUUAUAAGUUUAGGGAGUUAAGUGUCCAAAUUUAUAAGUUUUAGUGACUUAAGUGUCCCAUUUUGAAGUUUAGGGACUAAAGUGAGUAAUCGUCCAAAAUUUGGGGGGACAAAGUGAAAUUAACCCUGUAGACACACCUUCUGUAUUAUCAUUUAUGACAUAGUUUGACUUCCAAUUUAGCGGUGCGGUGGAGCCUGCCUUCAAAUGAGUGAGUUUAUACUACUUAGCAUAUCUUUUUGUGUUCCUGCUACGAUUGAUAAAUUAUUUCUGCACAAUUUCUGUUUCCAAAAUAUCUGAAUCUUUUCCAUAUAGUUAUCUAUAAGGUUAAAUUAUUUUUGUUUAAACAGUCUGAAUUGUCUUCUCUAUACAAUAACAGAAGGAAACAAAAAAAAAAAAAUGGGGGUGCAACCCAAACACUGACGGUAAGUGAUGACUGCUUGUUAUCUACAACCUUGUUACCAAUGUCACUUCCCAAAUAGAAUCUCCACCACUAUCAUAGACUUUUAUGAUUUAUUUUUUGAAUUUUCUUUAUUUUCCCAUCUAUUGUUAAACUGAAUAUUCAAAAGAAGAUGAAUUAUGAUUUCAUAUUUUUGUCUUUUUUGCUUAUAAAAAUUUUGAUUUUUAAGCCUGCUUUGUAUCAAUUUUUUUUCCCUUAUAAAAAAAUUCCUCGCUCUCUUUGUGUAAUUUUUCAUGUAUUAGCUCAACGCUAAUAACAAAUAUCAUGAAGAACUACGAUGAUUAAUAUUGUUGAAUCAUAAAGUAUUAGUGUGAAAACAUCUGUAGAAAGAUUCUUAUGUAUGUAAAUAUAACAGUUUACUAUUAGCCUAGAUAAUCACUAUUUCUUUUUUAACUUUGAUGUGUUCAACUGCAGCAAUACUAUGUUUUCAAUUUAUCAUAACCCUUUUAGAAAUAUACCAAUUAUUAUAUUUGGGCAAUCUCGCGCCUCGCGCGAGGCCCAAAUUAACUAGUCUUAAGAAUCAACAUGAACUGAAUCAUCAUCGAAAUAGACAGAUGUGCUAAGCACCUGCCGGAUAUAGAAGAAAUCAUAUAUUAAAGGGUAAAAUAUCAAAAAUUCCUUGUGAUUUACUAAAUGUUUAAUUUAACUCCCUUUGAUUUAGAAAUUUACACUAUAACUCCCUGUGAUUUCACCUAAUUUGAAAAUUGGACGGAAAGUGUCCAAUCUAACCGUUAUACGUGAAAUGUCAACAUUGCUCCUGUAUAAAUGAACUCCCUAUAGUUUGUCGAAUGUUCAAUUUAACUCCUUCUAAUUUGAAAAAUUACACUAUAACUCUCUGUGAUUUUGACUAAAUUGAAAAUUGAAUAGAAAGCACCGUACACAUAAUACGAGCAAUAUUGACAUUUCACAUAUAACCGUUAGAUUGGAUGGUUUCUAUCUAAUUUUUAAUUUAGUCAACACCACAGGGAAUUAUAGCGUAGGUUUCCAAACUAGAGGGAGUUAAAUUGAACAUUUAUCAAACCAUAGGAAGUUUUUUGGUAUUUUACCCUAUAUUAAAUGAUAAUUUUUUUUUUUAUCAGACGGCAACAAUUGAUAUAGUUUACUCUUAAUCCUAUUCUAACUUACACUUUGGGAGAGCAGGGAGGGGGAAGAGGCCUAACAGGACUUAGAGAAACUGACGAUAAUUGAAUCACUAUCGAAUCACACAAAUACACUACGCAUCCGUGUAAAUUUAGAAAAAAACCAUAUAUAAUGACAUGGAAGGUAAUAUUUGAAACUAUUGGUCUUCCACCUCAUAAAAGUGGCCAACGGUCUAGCAAGCUGUUGGUUACUUCAAACCAUCACGUGAACGAGGAAAACUUCAAACUAGACAAGGCAAAUGCAAUUCUCUUUCUAUAUUUAGAAAGGGAAACUGCUAUAUGCUAAAUUUAUUGGUUUGUUAUGAAGUUUUAUCAAGUUUAACUGUCACUAAAGUGCGUUUACGUGAAAUGUGCUGCAUGCAUAAUGAUUAGACAAGUUCAUUUUCUUGAUCGGUGCUAAGCUAGAGAAAAUGGAGACUUUAAUCCAGCCAGAUCUUCAAGAAACGCAGAACAAAUGUUAAUUCAAACUUAAAUUAGCAAAGUCCUUGUGAUUCUGAUAAGUGAUUCUCGUGUGGGUAGGACAAUAGAUCCCAAUAUCCACCAGAAUUGCAUCUCUUCUAACUUGGUCUCCUAUUAAAAGAAACCACAAAGAAGAAAGAACGAAAAGCAUUCACUGCUAAUGUAUAAUUAGGCACAAAUAAAAGGAUCUAAGUUUAUCAAAAGAAUAAAAUUGAAAUUUAAAAAAAGAAACUAAAAACAACGAAAGGAUUUUUAAAAAAUCCAAAAACGAAAUACGAAAGUUAAUGAAAAAAGGUUUGCAUUUUGGGGUGAGAGAGGCUCGAACUCUCGACCUCAGGAUAACUCAGAAGCUAUGAGACCUACGCGCUAGCCAACUGCGCCACCACCCCUGUUUGUUCCUACAACUGCAGAAUCUUAUUAUAAUAUGAAAAGAGCUGUACGUUACACGUUUCAGCCGAGGGGAAAAGCAAGAGAGUAGGCAGUGAGUACACUUGGCUGCAAGCCUAUUGUUAAAGUUUGCGUUGUUGUUUGGUCGUAUUUUGAACAGUCUCCUGACUUGACAAGACCCACAACCUGAAACCCCCCAAAAAAAAAAAAGAGUUAAAAGUAAACAAAAGCUUCGGUUUUCACUGUUCACAUCCAAAGCUCGCAUAAUUUCCAAUAAAAUUUUCUACAUUUUUGUUGUUUGCUAAAGAACCCGAUUUGCUCUUAAGGCUCUCUCCCACUGCCAAUUCCAAUUUCUAGUAUUAGAAAGGGAUCCUUAACAUGGAUGAGAAUGUGUGCAGAACUUGUCUUGAAUGAGGUACUAAUUUCUUGCUUUUAGUGUUUUUUUUUUUUUGUAGAAUCUGUUUUGUGUACUAAGUAGUAGUACAAUUCAUUUAAUGAUAUCCACAAGCAAAUUUGAUACGUGUGUUUGUUUUAUCUGCGAAUUUUACUUUCUUGUUUGUGAUUUAGUUGGGAAAUGAGCAGUUGGGCGUUUUUUGCAGUCAAGGGCUUAGCUUUGCAUUCUGACAUUUCUUGAACACUUUUUGGUUGUCAAGCAAACACCUUUAUACCAGUUUUGAAGUAGAUUUCUUUAUGUUUUUUGAAUUAAGUGUAGCUUUUGCAGAGAUGAAUUUUCCCUCGUAUAAGUGGGAACCAUCAGUUUUAGUAGGAAAAAGGACACGUUUCCCCAGCUUCAGCUUGAUUUACAAAAUGAAUGGGGGAUAUUGGUUAUCUAGCAUUAUCUCUUUACUUUUCUGGAGUCCCUGACUUCUUAAAACAAACCCCUUUUCUGGUGCAAUUAAGACUCAUUCUUAUUUUCUUGGUAUGGCGAUGAAGACUUGUGUUGGAUCUAGUUCACAAAGUUUGAUGCUUUAUGAGUCUGUUUGUGGUGGCCUUGCUAAUGUCUGUUCAGUUCAUUAUGUUUCGUUUAAUGGAUCUCAGUUUUGUUAAAGGUUACAGUUAUCUUAUGAUGGUAUUAGUUUGCCUCGUCUUCUAGAUUCUGCUGCUGAACUUGUUAAAUUUAUAUUGUAUGUUUAGCUUGUACAUGUGCGAAAUGGAACUUUAUUGCAUUAGGAUUCCAUGCCUCUAGGGUGUUUGUGCGAUAGAUUUCACUGUCUUAUCCAUUAUUUGGUUUGAGUGUUAAGGUUCUUGAGUUCAAAAUUCGUGGUUGUUUAUCUUUUAUAUGGGUAGUUCAUGUUGGAUGUUUGAAGAGGUUCACAAGAUAGAAAUUUAGUUGACAUCUGUGUUGUACAUGUGACACAGAGAAGAGGAUCAAAAGUUUUUGUUUUGAAUGGAUGGGGUUCAUCCUCAUCGAUCUCUGAUGAGGCUAUUUUUUAGUGUACAAUACUUUUUCAUAUUUGGAAGUUUGUUAUGUUCAUCUGGAAUGAUUUAUGUACUUUGAAACUGCUAAGAUCCUUAAUCAAUGGUAGAAAGAAAUUGUACCCGUGCCCUUGGCUUGGUAGCACAUCAUUAUAAGGUUUUCGGUGCCCCUUUUUAUACUGUUCCAAUCACAAAUAUUUAAGAAUCUUAAACUGAAGUCAGAUAAAUAGCUGUCUAAAAGGAUGCUUGCUUCGUGGAAUUUAGUAUAGAAUGAUUUUUGGGACUUGAGAAAACUUAUGCACUGGUUGACAUAAAUAAAUAUUCCUUUCUCAUGUUCAAAGCUUGAGCUGUUUUCGUGCUUUUUAAAGCUAAUGUGUGACAGUUAAGAUAGUUUGCCCCAUUUCAGAACUAGAGGUGACAAUUUUCAAGUUUGUGCAUUCUGAAAUUCAUACCAUCUCUCAGGUCUUGGGAACUGUUAUCUUAGAUACGGCCCUCUGAUUGAUUGUUUUAGGAUGUAGUCAUUCCAUGAUGUGAAUCAUUAUGCAAUCAAUGUUUGUUCUUUACACAAAAUUACUGAAUCUACGGAUCAUUUUCCGGUAUUUACAUAAUUAUAUAUCCCAGUGUAAUUUCAUUAAAAAUAAUCAAAUAAGGAAGUUACCUUGUGGACUUGCAAUUAGCAACUAAGUACAGAUGUACAGCAAGAGCUUGUAUUGAGAAACCUAUAUUCUUAAUAUCCUUAAAAAAAAAAAAAAGAAAUUUCCACUUUUAGGUCACGUAAAGCUGCAUUUCCAUGGGAGAACCUGAAACUAUAGUUUGUACUGUCAAAGCAUUUUGUACAAAAUAUUUACUGUUAAAAUUAUUUUCAUUUUUGCAGUUUUGCAUGUAUGGAGUUGUGAAGCAACAUUGGAUAAACAUACUACUUAAGGAUUGAUGCUUUUGUGAUGUUGGGUGGAUUCUUUAAGAGGUUGUAUCAGUAGUAGCUAAUUAUUGUUUGGAAGAUCCUUACAAGCUUUUCACAGCAGAAAGCAUAAGUGGAAAAACAUACUACUUAAGGAUUGAUGCUUUUGUGAUGUUGGGUGGAUUCUUUAAGAGGUUGUAUCAGUAGUAGAUAAUUAUUGUUUGGAAGAUCCUUACAAGCUUUUCACAGCAGAAAGCAUAAGUGGAAAACUUGUAUGUUGUAACAAAGCUUUUGACCCGUUUGCUUGAGAGAUGGAUAAUGCACAGAAUGCUAAUAUGUCUGGUGGGAAUCUCUCUCUGAUAACAUCUAUUGAUCAAAAUGAUCAAGUCAGAAGCCAUCAUGAUAUUAUGAUGCGCCGUCUAAAAAAUAGGGAACGGCAACGUAGAUAUAGAGCUCGGAAACGUCUUGCAGCUGAGAGAAUGCUGACAUCCCAUCCAGUGCAGUACCUGGAAGCCGAUACAAAGAAGGCACCUGCCUCUAUGCCACUGCCCAAAGAGAUCAAGCGGAGGCGGCGGAGGAAGAAGGAAAGUAGCAUGGAUCAAUUUACUGCGACUCAAAUAGAAAUGCCUUUGCAUUACACUGAAGCUGAUUCAAAGAAGGGACCCACCUCCCUUCCCCUGCCCAAAGAGAUUAAGCGGAGGCGACGGAGGAAGAAGGAAAUUACCAUGGAUCAAUUUAUGCCGGUGCAUGUACAAAUGCCUUUGAGUGACACUCCUCAAGAGUUUGCAACUCGGGUACACAGCCGAAGAGAUUGGAAAAGAGAUGCGAGAAGGGCCCACGCAUUGAAAGAGCAAGAAGUUAGAAUUCAUGGCCCUGUUAUUCCGGUGGUAACAUCUGUUAGUGCAAGCCAAGUCCAGUCUUUUGCUUCUGCCUUCUAUCCUCCUUCAGACAGAGAAUGUCAGACACGUGGGGUUAGAGUUGACAAUGAAGCACAAAAGGUGGUGCCUAGCCGAAGACACUGGAAAGAAGAGGCCAGAAAUAGGAAAAGUCAAAAUGCUUAACAAGAAAUCAGCUGUGGGGUGGGUUUGGGUGUUGUGAAUAAUCUAGUUCUGUUUCUUUUCUGCUAAGAGUAGUAUUAGGAUAUGUAUGGGUGUUUUUUUUUUUGUAAUAUCUAACUUGUCCUUGUAGUGAAGUUUUUCAUGAUCAAGAUUUGUGUGUAAACUGUUCUCUACCUCUUCUGUCUUUUACAAGCUUAUGGUGAAGUUAUGUUAAUCUGUUAUCUGCUAGACUUUUGGUCAGUAGCUGUGCAGAACCUGAAGUUGACGGUUGUCUUUAAUGGCUGAUAGUGCGUGUAUAGAGUAUAUUUAGGAUUGGUCGAGUUUUAUCCUGACCACUUCCUACAAAACCCGACGACAUAUCUCAUCUAUUCAUCUCCAGAAACUCAAUUACAGAUUCUGUCAGCGCAAGUUCCUGAUCCUGUACUUGAGGGAUAUAGCAACUGAUCCGUCAACUGAUCCCUUGGCAGUUGCCUAAAAUUGUUAAAUUCAUUGCAAGCCGUCCUCUUGAAAAAUCGAAAGCAGCUACUGAAUAUGGUUAUCUGGCAUAAGUAGCAUUUGGUGCUAUUCCAGUAAUCGCGUUUAUAUAUUACAAUACAAUCAGGUUAUGGCCUUCAAAAUGGAAAACAGAUCCUAAGAAAGAAGAAUAUACCCAAAAGGAAAAGUUCUUGGCCUGGUACCACCCGUGCUUCAGCAUACAUGCAUGACUUGAUAGGAAUUGCCAUUUCUGCACAGAAGGUGUUAAUUGACACGGUAGCAAAUCUAUAGUUCUAUGCCUCUACUGCUACCUUUUUAAUCCACUUAUUGCAUGUUAUAGAAACACGAAAGUUGCUUUCAUACAUCUUCUACAUCAAUUGUUGACACCCAAUGAUUUUCUAUGGCUUCAAUGCAUAUAGCAGUUCAAUAUUUUGAUUGAAUAACCGCGGACAGGUUCAGUUCAUUCUUUGUUUGAAACCACUGCGAGUUGAAACACACAUGAGCAACGUUGGAUGACAUGGUUCCCCAGUCUGGCAAGCUCCUUUGGAACAUAUGCGGUGGUUUCAGUUUGGUUAAUGAAAUGAAAAUUUGAGAUUUGAUUAUCAAGCAUUUCAAGGAAUAAUGGAAAAGUCUGCUAGAUCAUUGAAUAUGAACAGAUGAAAGUCUCAAAAGAAAAGCAAGAAGAUGCUAAUCAUGCGACUACUAGAGUUACUAGCAAAUUUUACAAGAGAGAAUUUGUAGGUACCGAUAGUAACACCAAAUUCCCGACCCUGUCUGUACUAACACCGGUCAACUUUCAAUCACAGCAUCAGAUGCACCUGCUAUUUUUCUUUUCUAUGGAUAUGAAAUCUAAGAGAGAAAAUAUGAAACUGUUCAUAUUCUGGCAAAGCUCCUUUGGAACAGGUGCAGUCGGUUCAGUUCAGUUAAUGAAAUAAAAAUUUUGGAUUUGAUUAUCAAGCUUGCAAGGAAUAAUUGAAAUGUCUGCUAGAUCCAUUGAAUAUGAACAGAUGAAAAUCUGUUCAUAUUUUACAAUCAUGCAAUACAAGAAUUACUAACAUAUUUUACAAGAGAGACUUUGUAAGUACCAUAUUUCUAUAGUAACAACAACAAAUUCCCGGUCCCUGUACCAACACCGGUUAACUUUCAAUCGCAGCAAUAGAUACACCUGCUGUUUUCCUUUUCUAUGGAUAUGAAAUCCAAGAGAGGACAUAUGAAACUUUUAAUAAGAGAAAAAGGGAAAAAAAAAUGAAAAGUAGGGGAUAUUUGAAGAUGCAUGGGAAGUAGCAUCCUAGCAUACACAGCUAUCAACUAGAUAAUGCUUGCACUUAAUCUAUUUAUGAAGAUGGUAAGCAUUCACCCUUCUCACAUCCUCAAAGCUCCAAUCCCUUCUCAUCCCACUGCUCCUUACCAAUCUUGGCGUGCCCGUCUCGAAAGGUGCACUAUUGUGGAUCCUAUAUUUACCCUUAUUCGCAUUCUUUUCAGCCAUCAGAAUCGUCCCAGUUCGCACAUUGUCAUAACUAGGAGGCCUUGGCACCAGAUUUCCUGACCAGCUCCUGUCAACUGUAGGCAAAACCAUGUAGCCAUUCGGCUUUCCUUGGUACAAUCCGCUUCUCAUAUCAACAUCUGAAUCUGUCCUCUUCAUGCCUUGACAGGUCAAGCAAUUGAGAUUCAUGGUGUUAAAAAAGGAGAUCAACUGUGUGCUUUUUUUCUUUGUUUCUGUGCUAUGAUCAAUCUGAUGGCUAACCCGAGGGAAGCGGCAAAUAGGUUACCUAAUGAUUCAAGAUGUACAGUUUUUAUUUACAUGUGACUGAAGAUCUCUUGUGGGUUAGGAUGGAUGGAAAAUCCCAGGCAGAUUGGAGCUGUGAUAAUCCACAAAGAAUGGUUAAGGGAAUAGGUUGGUGCAGGCUUGGGGUGCUGCUUCCCAUUUUGGCCAUAGGCAUUGUCUUCUUGUUAAUAAGAAUUAUUCUUUGUAUUUCCCACAAGAUUAGGUCCUAGAAAAAUGGUGAACCAAUGAUCCAAUUCAUGAGAAGCAAAGAAAUCUCCAGGCUUGCAAACCCGAGAAAGCAGCAGUGCACUUGACCGUAUAUUUAAUUUGUAAAGGAUUUCUGAACUGCGUCUGUAAUAAGUCAGCAAAAAUUUGGAUCUACUAGUUUUUCAAACACUAUAAAAAAUUUUAAAAAGUACUCUAAGAGGUACUCUAAAAAGUAGUUUAAAUUUUUUUUAAUAUUCAAAAAAUAUUCCAAAAUAUAUUUUAAAAACUCUACAACUCUUAAAUAUUCCAAAAUAUUUUCUAAAAAUAUCCCAAAAUAUACUCUAAAAACUCUGCUACAGUAAAAAUUUUCAAAAAUACCCUCAAAAAUAGCUAAUUCAAACGGAGGUGUCCGAGCCAAAUGUGGUUGAUUACAUUUGAUUAAUGAUGAAUUAGAAUAGACACCAAGGUUUGAGAGAAAAUACGCACACAUUUUCCCUUCUCAAAUGAAAUCUUACAUGUUGCAACAAGGAUGGCUGCAAUAAUACAUAAUUUAUAUUCUUGAGCAACACUAAAUCAACGUACAAUAAAAAUUAUUUGAGAAAAGGCCUUGGUUGAAUUGUCAUUUUUUUUCUAAAAAAUGUUUACGUUUUCGUGAAAACAUUUUUUAAUCGUCUUUUUACGUCACACAUCAAAUUAUUACAGUAUAUUUUUUAUUCAAAAAUUUUCAAUAAGACAGCAAUCCAAACAGAAUCUUAAGUAUGCUGAAAUAAUUUAUAGAACACAAAUUGAUAAAGCAAUAGAGGCAAAGAGCUACUCUAACCCAUUACUUGCUCAAUAUUACUAGUAUUGUUCCUAGACUCGAACAAUCUUUUCACCCUAUCUGACAGAUUAAAGUCAGACGUGGGAAGAAUCAAGGACGUGGAUGGUGGAUCCCAGCUCUAGCCGUCUUCCACAGGUAUAUUAACCAAAGUCUGGAUCCCAUAUUUCCGGGCCUCAUCUGCAUGCGUACAAUCCAAGCCCGCCAGCUUCUGAGUGCCAGUAACCCAAAUUGCUGUAGACGUCUCGAAGGCCCGGCUCGGGAGCCCAGCUCCACCAACAAAAAACUGAGUCGCAGAAACGAGGAAAAACCACAGCGAAUCAGUCACCUCUUCUUCCGGCUCUGCAACUCCCUCACACAACAAAGAGGUGAUCUGCCGGAAGACACUUUUCCUGUGCUCUAGCUCCCCCACACACGGCGAAGGCAUUGCUCGAAAAUUAGUAGUCUGUCCAGCAUCUUCAGAGAAGUACCCGUCACACCAGCUUAACAGUAGAGGAUUCAUGGGAUCCAAGGCUUCAGAAACUCGCCAGAAGAUUGCGUACGUCCAGCCUUGCCGGGCAUCUUGAAUGACAGAUUUCAAGCGUUUCUGGAUAUUAUCAUCACGGGCAACAGAUGAUUGCCUAUGCUUAAGUCUGUCUUCGGGCCUGACAAAGAGGGUCCUGAUAGCCAUCUCCUUAAGCUCAUCUUCGGGCCUGGUGGCAAUGACCCGGAUAGCCCGCUCCCCCUUAGGUGUAUCUUCGGGCCUGGAACCGGAGAUUGGAGGGAUAACCGGCUUUUCUUGUCCUAUUCAUUCGACUUCUUAUAUGGGAGAAAGAAUCAUCUUCCAUGGUUCCAGUUAACCAGAAAUGACUACCCUUGUUCGUUCAUGCAAUUAUGGUAUCAGACUCUCAUUGUAGUGGAGCAGCACUAAAUAUCAAGUCCCAAAACGAAAUUCAGAAGUCAGAAAAAAGGGUCCAUGGUGAUGUUUGUGGACGGGAAAUGUAGUCUACAGAAAUUCGAGAAAUAGGAAAAACAUCUUGACCGUAGCUGGAAAUGGACCUAGAGUAAUAAGUGUGGCCGUUAGGAGCUCCAAGUUGAAUAAGAAGUUGCAUGUUGCAAGCUCGCAUUCAUUUUUGGCUCAUUCGGCAAAUUAGUCCAUUUGGUUUACUAGCUACUCGUGGUUCUUUACAAAUUUCAAAUGACAAAAAGAAUGGAGUGUAGUUAGUCUGUCUUAAAUUACGGUACUACUUUAAAGAUAGCUUUUAUGCAAAACUAGAACUUCUAAUCAGACUUUGAGGUUUGAAGUUGGAUUGGAUUUAAGGAUAGGAUGGAUUAUUCUCCAAGAAUAAGUAGAUAAACUGACCAAAUCAAAUAGAUUUGUUUUCAAACUUUUAAUUAAGUUUUGCAUUUUCAUUUGUUUUUGUAUAUUAAUUAGCCACAAAAUUGGAACACGUGAUAGAACGAUUCGUGCCUAAUUUGGCAUUUACUUUUAGCAAAAAGUUGGCGAAGCCAUCUUCAUAGGAAAAAAAGGAUUAAUUCUAGAUGAACUCAAUAAAAACAUACGGGUUUCUUGUAGGGACGAUGAAAACAUUCUGAUUCACAACCUGCAGGCUGGAUAGGCCAAGAAUCUAGUCUUAUAUUCCAGCUGAAUCUGUACCUAUAUACUAUGAGUAUACUGGUAUCAUUCCUAAACUUGAAAGGUGGCUCAGUCCUUCCCAACAGAUCGAAUUCAAGCGGAGGCUGCAGCAGCUCAAUAGCAAAGAGAACCUGGUGGUGCAGUCAGUGGAAGAGCAUCGACUACCCUAGAAUUACCACGAGCUACUUCAGAAACAGCUGCAGCAAUUUCAUGAACUAUUGCUCCUGCAACAGCUUGAGCAUGAACUGUUAUUCCUGCAACAGCUUGAGCAUGAGCUGUAACUUUUGCUGCUGCAAGAUUGAAGGGUCCUGUUAGCAAAUAAUGGAUAGGUGUCAUUGGUUAUCUUUGGCACUAUAUCCUUGCGCCGGGAGUAGUAAGGAGUUAGUUGCAAUUGUGUCAUCUAGCCUCCCGCACUGCCAGUUUCUUUCUUUCAUAGGGCUGAAGUUUGUUAACAACACACCUAGAAUAAUCCCCAAAAAGUAGUGUAAUACUUUUUUCCGGAAUGGUUAUAGAUUAUAGGAGCUGAUCUACUCGAGAGUUUACUUUGUUAAACAUCUAAGAUAAAAAUUUUGAUCUAAUGACUUGCUUCGAUUGAAAGAUGUCGCAUCAGAAAUUCUCAUGUUCCUAUAACGGAUUUGAAAGGUUUUAACCGUCAUGUUGUUGGGCAGGUGCACAAACUGGUGGUUCAUUUCCUCCUCCUCCUCCUUUCUGGGAGGCUUAGCCCUCAAAUAGCAAACUGUAAUGCAGUCUUAGCCAUUGAACCGUCGGACUUAAUCAUCACACCCUAUGGUGAAUGAAACGGUAAUGUUGGCAUAUUGAUAGGUUGCAAUUUUGUCAUUAAUUUUAUAAUUAUUUUUUCCUUUUAUAUUACCAAAUAUUGCAUUAAUUGAUGGAUUCUACUUAUUUUUUGUAAUUAUCGUUGGUUGUAGGAAUUUGGAUAAAAAUGAGUUAAAAUGCGUGAUUUUUUCACUAAACUUACUGUUCCGCAUGGUUACAUCAAAGUUUAAACUGCACACGUCCGUCUCUUUACCUGAUGAUUGGUCUCCUAUCUCUAUUGGGAAAGAAUCCUUUAUCUAGUGGGAAUUUGAUUUCGAUUAGUAGAAGUAGUUUAGUAGUAUUAGGAAACAAAACAACAGAGCAUCUUUAUCGUUUCUUUAUUCCUUCUUUUAGGGAGACUAGUUAGUAGUCAGGGGGUACUCUUUCUUUUAGUUAGCCGCAAGACACAAGAAAAACUCUCUCAUCUUUUCUUUCACUUUUUUCGAAUAAAAAUACAUCACUUUUGGGAGAGAAGACUCAUGUCAAUUAGUUCGACUAAUUGGCGUGGGAUUUCUUCAACGAAAAUGAACUAAGCUACCAUUUCUAGUCAAGGAACAACAGAGGAUUUGAUUCAUCUAAAAUUUGUGAAAUUGAAUUGAUUAUAUUUAUUUCUUUUAUUUAUUGAUAUUCGUAAAUUUAAUUUUUUAGGGUUAUUAUGUUAUUUGAAUAUCAAGAGCCUGAUAUUUAAUUUAAUCUAAUAGUCUAAAACUAGUUAGAAUAGUUAAAUCCGUAAUUGUUUAAUUACUUAAAUUAAUGGUGACUGGCAUAAUUGACUUUGUGUGGGAGAGCAUAUGGAUUAAUUUAAAAAAAUCCUCGUAGCGUGUUAUUUGAUUAGAAUAGAGUUUCUCUAAUUUUUAAGGCAAUUGGGAAAUUGAACUCUAAGAUCAUACCUAGGGUUAUUUCUUGAUUAGAAAAAUGAUUAUCAGUCAUACCUUGAUCACCAAUACAGUAAGAAGAAGUUGAUUAUCAUAGCGUGUUUGCCAGGUAUAACUUAUUUAUCAUUAAGUGAAUGAAAUUAUUAUUGCAUCUAUGAUUAAUUGAGUGAACCAUCUCCAAAAUUAUUUCUUGACUAGAGAUUAUUCAUUAUUGAUUUAAUUUUGUUAAAUUGUUAUUUAGUUUUUAUUUUAUUUAAUUUAUCUGAAUUGUUUAAUUAUCCUCAAUUAUAUAAAAAUCCCCAGAAUUUUGGGCUCUAGAAGAAAUGAAUUAUCCCCAAUCCUUGUGGAUUCGACCCUACUCACUGAUGUAUAAAAAAAUUAUAAUUUUUCUUGAGUAGGUAUUUAUUAUUGUACAAACUCGACAUCCUGUCAAUUUUUGGUGCCGUUGUCGGAGACUGGUGCUUAAUUAAUUUGUUUCUUUUUGAAUUCAUCUUAUUUUUAUUUUUAUUUUUCUCUUUUUUUAUUAAUUUAUGGCUGCUAAUAUUCAAUAUUUUGGUGAUAGACAAAGUUUUAUUCCUAAGAGGGAUAGUGAGACUUGUGUCUUUUCUAAUGAUCAAUAUUUAGAUUCACUAACCUCUCAUGUAGAUAAUUUGGCUGUUGCAACUUGUGAAAUUUGUUAUAUCUCAAAUCAUUCAACCGAGAUAUGCCCUGCAUUUCAAAAUGAUCUAAGUGCCCCAAUCAAUACUUUUGGAGAUUUUUCACCCUAAUGUCGAAUGUGGUAUGACCCUUAUUCAAAUGGGUAUGAUCAAGAAUGGUAGGACAACUCCAACUUUAAUUAUGCAACAGAGCCAAUCGAUUUUCAAUAGCAAUAUGAACAAAAAGAGUUUCAAGAAUUGUCAUCCAUGUCAGGUAACUCUCUUGAAGAAAUGAUGGAAUUACUAACUAAUAAUAUAUAUCGAUUUCAACAGGAGACACAAAUGAGAAUUAGAGGGAUGGAGGAUGGAAUGCAUCAACAACCAUUAUCCAUAUUAAGUAUGUUUCUUGAAGAAAUGAUUGAUCAUUUUCAACAGGAGACACAAAUGAGAAUUAGAAGGAUGGAGGACCAAAAGCAUUUAUUUGCAUCUACAAUGAGCAUUCGUAAUCUGGCGGCUCACGUGUGUCUAUUGGCAUCUAGAAUAACGUAAUUGACUUCUCAAAUAUGUGAAGAAUUGCUCUCACAGACCAUUAUCGACUUUGAGGAAGAUGAGAGUGCGAUUACCCUGACACGCGACAAUGAGCUACAAAAGUCUCAAGGAGAAGAAUCUAAAAAUGCUAUUGAAAAGAAAGUUGAGAAUGAGGAAAUAAAACCCCAAUCUCUAAUUGUUUAAGUGAAUGAAUCCAGUGAACAAUUUUCAAAUAUGGUGACAUCUUCUCCAUUCUCUGACUAAUAUUAUCCUGACUCUUAUUCUAUAAUUUCUGCUAGUGUGAUUGAUUUUGUUAUAUCAGAAAUUUUUGAGUCUCAUAGCAGGAAUAAGUUAAGAGUUGCUAUAGCCAAAUAUCUUGAAUCGGUAAGUGUUCAUGAUGGAGGAGCAAGUGAAGAAUUAAAGUUACUAUUUAAUUGUUUGGCGCCAUCUACUAGGCAAUGGAAGAACGUAACUCAUGUAUUUAAGGAUCACUCUACUGACAUCAGAAUUACAUAGGGGAUGAAACACUGAAAUGAGUUACAUGAUUUUAUCUUCUUUAAACAAAUAUGACAAUAUCUAGCCAAAAAUAUUAAAGAAAUGUGUUGCUUGAGAAGCAACCCAAGAAUUUUUAAUUUUUAAUUUUUGACAUUUCAUGUUUCUUGUUUAAUUUUUAGGUGCAAUUUAAGUGAUUUUAUUUUUUUUGUGUCAGGAAGUAGUUCGCUAGAAGACGUGCUCAAAUGAGAAUUGAAUGUUGAAUAUUCCUACGUCCAAUGCUAUGUGGCAAAUUGCCUGCAUGUACCUGCAGCAAAUGUCUAUGUUUUGAAACUCAGACUGGACAAUAACUCGGCUGAAUUCAGGGUCAGGGGUCAAAAGAUUCAACCGGAUCGGAUCGGUAUACAAAAUCGGAUGAUGUCAGCAUAAUGUCAUUAAUAUAAUAUAAUUAAAAAUAAGAAUACUAUGUAAAAUACUAAUAGCAUGUUAAUAUCAAGAAAGCCACAUUCAUAUAUGUUUGAUGUUUCAAAAUUAUUUAACGAGAGAAUAUGAAUAAAAUAGAAUGAUUAAGUUUCCAUUCAUGAGAAAAAAAGAAAGUUUCCAUUUGUAUAACUCAAGGCAUAUCCUACAAGUUUCAAAUUAAAUUUAGGGGUUCAUUUGAAAAAUAAUACCAGAAUUUAGCACUAUACUUAUAGAUUAUAAAGUGUUUUUAGGUGUAUUAAUAGUUCUGUAAAACUCUAGGAGUCGAAACAUAAAAUCGGAAAAGCUUUGAACUCCGCAAUAAUUUUCUUCCUAUUUCUUUUUCUUUUUCUUUUCCUCGAGUCCCCACCCAGCUGCCGCUUCAUCUUAUUUUCCCUUCCUUGCCGAUUGCCAUCUUACUGUUCCUUCUUCUUUUUGUUUUCCUGAUUGUUUUGCUCACCUUUGCAAUAUUAAUUUUGUUAUUUUUUUUCCAAACUCAGAAAAUAUCAAACUUUUCAUAUUUUCUUUUUUCCAUGAUAAGGUAAUAGUACGGAAUAAAAUACCAACUAGUAAGUAGGAAAACUAAUUCCGAUUAAAAACUACUAGAAAGCAAAUUUGAAAAUUUUCUCGACAUUGAUUUAUUUUGACAACAUUACCUCGCUUAGUUAUAUAUUUUAGAAUGAAUUGGAAAAGGUACCUAGUGAAUAACAUAUUCAGAAAUGACUUGGAAAUAUGCGUUUAGUGAAAAAUAAUCUAAGUUCAUAGUAGAGGAGACAGACCAAAUAUUUUGUUCGAAGUGUCUUCCAAGAAGUGCAUUCUUAGACUGGUCUGUUUGGAUUGUGAAUUAUUAGAGAUAUUUUUACUGUAACACUUUUUGUGAUGUGAUGUAUGUGAGAUAAAAAGAUAAUUGGGAAGGUAAAAAGGUGUAUUGGAAAUUGUAAUGAUGAUGUAAGCAAAUAAAUUUGGGAAAAUAAAGCCCAAUCCAAACAAACGUGUGUUAAAGACUUGCAACACUGAUAAGAAAGUAUCAUUUUUGACAACGAAAAUUCUUACAUGGAUAAUUUAAAUGGAUCAGUAUUACAGUGUAGCCCAACCAACCAAAAUUAGUUACAAGUAUUCAGUUAAAUACGGAAAACCCAACAAGUAGCAACCCAUAUUUGUCAAUAAUAGACCGUCGGUGAUUUGUGACUCACAUAUUUCCCCUGAGAAAUUUGAAGGGGAAACCUAGGAGAGAGUCAGUUAGAAGCCACUAAUAAAACUUCUUUGACGUUGCUCAUAAUUUUAUUGUCUUCCUUUUGAGGUUUUAAAAAUUUCACUUACUUUUUCUGACAUUAAUUUGGGACCUAGUGUUCACAUCAUUAUUGGUGAAAUGACUCAACUAUCCUUACAACUUAAGAUAUUUUAUACAUAUUUGUGGAAAGAACCAAUCAAAACGUUUACUAUUUAAAUUAAACAUAAUUUGAAAUUUCAAAAACAACUAAUUUGCUACAUAAAAAGGGAACUAAUACUAGGUGCACUUUUUCUAUUAACUAGUUUUUUCAGCCUCACGCAAUGCGUGAGGAUGCCCUGGGUCUAUGUUAAUCAAGAUCAAAUGAAGGCAAGUGGAUUAAUGUAAAAUGGUUAUAUAUUUAAUACAUGAUAGGUGUUAAUAAAUGUGGAGAAUUUGACUUUAGGUAAAUUGAAUAUUGCUGUUACUCGUUUACUCAUUUGAUUUGUAAUUUUCUCUUAGAUAUUCAGUCUUUAGCUUAAGAUCUUUGCGAAUUCUUGAUAUUAUAAAUAAAUGAUGCAUUCAUUUAAAAUGUACAAGUACAUACAUAUAUCAUAAAUAUGGUGACGCUGAUCACUUUUAAAAUUAUGCACACACUAUUUGUAUCUAAUCAAGAAUGAAAUAAGUUUAAACAAGAUCAGCUAGGUGAGAGUGCGAAAACUUCACCUUGUAAAACCGCCAAAUCCAGGUCUUCAAUUGGAGAAAGAAACACAUCCAAUAUGUUGCUUUUCAAAUGGCUUUCUCUCAAGAUUACAUAGGCAAUACAGCUUUGUGCGGCUCCCACAGACCCCUUCGGACACCACCCACUGCCCACUCACCAGUGGAGAUCAAGCAACUACAACUAUACGAUGAAGAUACAAAUACACGUCUGAACUCUGAAGCACAAACACAAAAGCCCCCAAAGUUGACCAAGCACACAACUGAAGCACGAAUGCAAAAGCCACCGAAGUUGCUCAUAAUUUAGGCGGUGGAUCUAUUUUACAAAUGGGGUAACAAACUCGUGUUUAAAAUCCAAAAAUAAGUAUUUAUAGAAUCGUUUUUUCAUGCUCGAAAGAAAAAUUGGAACUACUGUAAAAGUUUAAAAAUUAUAAUCCAUUUCUUAAAUUGCAUAUUUUUUUUAUGAAGAAAGUUUAUCCUUUUGCAAAAAAAAAAAAAAAAAAGUUUACACAGCCACGGGAUAUCUUCAUAUUUUUAGUAACAAACUCGUGUUUAAAAUCCGAAAAUAUGUAUUUAUAGAAUCAUUUUUUCCUGCUCGAAAGAAAACUUAGGACUACUGUAAAAGUUUAAAAACUAUAAUCCAUUUCUUAAAUUGCAUAUAUUUUUUUAUGAAGAAAGUUUAUGCUUUUGCAAAAAGAAAAAAAAAAAGAAAAAAUGUUUACAUGGCCACGGGAUUCCUUCAUAUUUUUUUUAAUUUUUUUUCCAAAACAGGAGGACCCUCUUGUUUAUAUUGACAGUAUACAUUUUCACAUUUUAAUGCAUAUUAUUUAAUCCAAAUUUGAAUUCUAAUAUCAACUUUUGUAUAUAUGACAUGUAUCCAAAAAUGAUAGUGAGUGCGUUUGGAUUGAAAUGAUUUGAAAAAAAUAAUUUACUUCACAAAUUUCAAUGACCUUUUUAUCUUCCAAAUCACCUUUUUAUCUCACAUAUAUCACAUCAUAAAAUAUGCUACAGUAAUUAUCUCAAAUAAAUCAUUCAAAUAACUCAAUGUAUACUGUAUAUUCUGAAACUCUUGGUUGAAAUGUAAGAUAAUUAAAGAAUAUUUCGUAAAGCUACAUAUGCAAAACAGUGGAAAUGUACGAUGCUACUUUCAACGUGAAUCAAACACAAAGAUGCCAAGUUUCAUCGUUCUAUUGCAGCAAAAAAAGUUUGCUUGCAUGAUAUUGCACUAUUAAUGCCUUACACGAAGAGAACUAAAGAGGAUAAUAAUGGAUAUGCCAUAUUAUAUCUAAAAGUUGAAGCACUCAAAACUGGUCCAACUUCCACCAUACAUACACCCAAACCCUAAGAAAACAAAUCGAAUGUUCCAAUUUCUAGUUUUCAAUUUUUAUAGCAAGCCCAAUUAAGAAUAUAAACAAAAAUUAAAACUCUGAAUGAAGAAAAUACGAAUAAAAGUAUCUAAAGCUAAAGGUUGGGUAGUACAUUACUUUUCUGAAAUUUCUUAUCAAGAAUUAGUUCAAACAUGUUCAAUAAUUCUUUUCUCGUUAUACAUAAUAGUGAUUAAGGCACACUCAGAUGUGUGUAUAACUAAUUAGAAUAAAAAUAUUUGUAAUAAUAAUUCUCUUAUAAAAGUGAAGUAUUAUAGGGGAAACAAGUGCAUGGGCUUAAUUUUGGUGAUGUUAAUAAAGAAAAAUUGAAAAAAUGUGUGUCAAAUAUAGUAGAUAAACAUGGAGAAAUUGAACGUAAAAAUACGGGAAGAUUCGAACUUAUAGUAAAAUUGUUGUUUUAUUAUUUUGUUAGAGAAUAAAUCCAUUUUAUCCUUUAUAAUAAAGGCAAAAAAAAUAAAAAAGAAGAAGAAAGAACUAACAACACAACACCGUAAAGGGCAUCAAGCUUUAUAUAUGGCACAUAUAUGCUUCCUAAAAAAUGCCACUGGAGGGAGAGGGGAAAGAAUUCUAGCGUCUGAACUCUGGAGCAAGAGGGCAAGCCCAAACAAAUUCCUAUGAAAUGCCAUUGGAAUUGUCGAAAUUUACAGCAUAACCAGUCUAUCUGCCUAUGAAAAAGCCACUGAAGUUGCUCAAAAUUACCGGAUAACCAGUCCAUGAGCACUGUAGCAACUCCAACUCGCGCUUUUAGUAUAGUAAGGAUGUACUUGAUAGAUAAAAGGAGUUAUAUAUGAUGCACCUAAUAAAUAAAAAGAUACAGACAUGAAAAAUAAUUGAGCUGUUUACAAACUAAAUUAAACAUAAUUUUAUUAUAUUAGAAAAAUUAAUCUAAAAUUAGGAAAAUACUCCCAUACUAGGCUCGUUUUUUUUUUUUCAAAUGUACUUGACAAUUAAUAGAAGUGGGACAUGAGGGGACUUUGGAUCCAUUGUUUCUUCUUAUUACCAUGGUGGAAACAAGAAUCUUAAGGUAAGAAAAAAAUUUUACUAUUUUGUUAAACUACGAAAGUUGUUACUUUUUUGCUGCAAAUGAUGAAAAGUUUUUUAUUAACCAUGUGCAGUAACAACCCCAUGAGUGAAAUAAUAAGUAAGAGCAAAUAAUUAAAUUAACUAUUAUUAUAGAUAAGGGGGCACUUAUGGAAUCAAAUGAUCUUCUCACACCUAAAAUCAUUUUUAGGGAUAAUUUCAGAAACCUCCCUUGAGAUUUCUAACAAUUUCAUUACCCGCCUCUGAGCUUUCAAAAAUAUCACUUACAUCCUGUAUAAGUUAUUUGAACCCAAUGCUUACCUCAUAGAUGUUCAAAUAACUUUAUUAUCCUUAUACCUUAGGAAAUAUUACAUAUUUAUAUGGGGAGAAACAAUUGAGUUACUUGUACUAAAUUAACCAUGAUUUGGAAUAUAAAAAAUUUCAAAAUCUUGAAUACUAAAUGUUAUAAUGAUAGUUUUUAACAUUUUAAAAUUAUUUUUCUAUAUGACAGGGUGUCAAACCUGUGCAAUAAUAAAUACCUGCUCAAAUAAAAUACAAAUUCUGUAGAUAGUGAUAAGUAGGGUCGAAUCCACAGGGACUAGGGAUAAUUCGUUUCUUCUAGAAUUCAAAGUAUAGGGGGUUUUGAGAUUAAGUGCCAAUUAAACAAAUUAAAUGCAGGAAGUAAUUAAUUCAAAGAAAUAAUUAAGAGAAGCUCUAGCCAAGGGUACACUUCAGAAAUAGUUCAUGCACUGAUCAUUGAUGCAGAAAUAAUUCCAACAUUUAGUAAUAGAUUAGUUAUAGUUGUCAUGCACGCGAUAAACAACCAACCCUUCCUUAAUUUCUCGAUAGCUAAGGUACGACCGUUAGUUAUUUCUCUAACCCAAAAAUAACCCUAGGUACGACCGUAGGAUUUAAUUCCUAAAUUGCAUUAAUAAUUAGAAAGGCCCAACUCUAACCAACAAACACGCUACGAGGGUUUGUUUAAACUAGAUCAUAUGCUCCCCUGACAUAAACCCAAUUACGCCAGUUGCUACUGAGGUAGAGAUAACGAACAAUUACGGAUUCAAUUACCCCUAUUUAACAAAAAUAGCCUAUAUGAAUAAUUAAUUAUUGCGCACUAAUCAAUCAUACACAAGGCCAUAGCAAUUAAAAUCAAUGAACAUAUAAAUACCAAUAAAUGAAGAAAAUAAUUAAAACAGAUUCGAUCUCACAGUAAUUGUCGAAUCAAAUCGUCAAUUGUCCUCUUGACUAGAAAAUAAGAAUUCAGUUCUUCAUUGUUGAGGAAGUUCCCAACAUGAUACUGUCGAAAGUAAAAAACUCAGUCCUGCGGCUAUUCAGCCUCUAAUUCCCUAUAUCCCCCGUGACUAGUCUUCUAACCUAAUAAGAAGAGAAAAGAAUCCAAAAGAUGGGACCCUCCGAAUUCCUUCUUGUUUCCUAUUAAUAGUAGGACUUCCUAACCUCUGUACGUUUCUUCCUAAAUAAUAGACUAAUCCUUUCUUUUCUCCGUGGUCCCCGCACAAUUGAGAGCAAAAGUCCUCCCAAAGCAUCCUGCACCAACAGAGGCUUUCCUUCUUUGUUUUGCUUCCUAUUACCUGUAGGACUCCAAUCUCCUAAUCAGCAAAGGAAAUGCAAUCUCUUUGUAGCACCAUGUGAACCCGAUUGUUUGAAAUCUCAAUUAUCUCCAAAAAGUCCCUCAUUUUUGUAGUUUUCUACUCCAUUCCCUGAAAUUGAGUUCAAUACCAAAUAUAAGUAAAUAUUAACAAUUAAAACAAUAUUUGACAAGAAUAAAGGGGAAAAUUAACAAUAAAAUAACCAACAAUUAACACCCUAUCAAUUCCCCCCAUACCUAAAUCAUGCUUGCCCUCAAGCAUAAGAACAGCAAAUGAACACCAAAAUUUGACAAUGGCUAUUGCUCUAACUAUCAUAUUGCCAAGAUACCCAAAACAACAUAUAUCAAGCAUCACAGUUAAGAUCCAAGAAAGACCACUCCGAUUAGCUUCCCAACCACCAACUCCUCUAAUUUAAAGCAAACUAAUCUAAGAAAAAGGAAUGAUUGCUCACAUUUAUUAGUAAAUGGUCCAACUAUUAACCAAAAUCUCGAUAUUAAGAUCACAAAUCGGCAAGCUGACUUUUCAAAUACGAACAAAAUCUUUACUCUACUUUUUUUUUUUGAAUAACAAAAGACUUAGUCUCUAGCCAUCGGAGCCUUUUGACGCGGACUCCAACAUUUGUCAGAUGAAGGAGCCCGGUUACUCAACCUCCAUCGCUGUAUGACCACGUACUCAUAGAAAUCACUACCUUUUGACGCGAAAAUCGACACUUUAGAUGAAGAUCCCCGGUUACUCAGUAGUAACCACUAGCAGAGUACAGUCAACUCUUAUUUGCAACCAUAUAGCAAGAUAUCUGAAAGCAACACAAGAAUAACAGCAGCCAGCCUCAAAUUUUCAAACAUGGAGAACUAAAAUUAAUAACUGGACCAAUUCACAUGAAAAAUGCCAACAAUCAUUCCCUAUGCCUAGAAAAGUUAACCAAAAAUUAGAAAAGUCAAGCAAUUACUGAUAUUCACCAAAGAGAUGUUCCUGAACUCAACCACAUCAACUUGAUGCGCUUUUAUUAAUAAAAUUUGGCAAUAUCAGAAUUAGAGACAACAGUCCAACAUCAAAACUUAGUAUUCAAAUAAGAGCUGACCACUAAUAAAAGAAAAUAAAAUAAAAUAAAUAAACGAAAAAUAGAACAAAUAACAAAAAUAAAGGAAAACAUGUAAAAACUAAAAAUUAGAAAUACUAGCUGUACCACAGUUGUCCCCCCCCAACACCUAAGUCACACAUUGCCCUCAAUGUGAUAAUGUAAAAGUAGAAGGAAGGAGAGGGGCAACGGCACUUCCCUGAAAUCAUCAAAACAUGGGCAGUUCAGGUGGAAAUUGAGGAUCAAGGUCUGCAUGGGGCAUAAAUGCUGCCAAAUUCUGCGUAUGUGAUGCAGGUUGACGUCAAUGUGGGUCAUCCGAGUUGCUAGUCGCUCAACUCGCAUCUGGAGCUGGUGCCAUUCGUCAGCCCCUGGGAUAGGAGGAGGCUGCGAGUGUCUAGGUGUCCUAAACCUAGAAGCGGAUCUUGGUCUUACCAUGAUCUCUAGAUGUCACUCUAAUCACAAGGGACUACAAUUGCCAACAGAUAAUGAAAACAGGAAUUUCAAAGUAAUAACAAUUUUUUGUUUAAAACCAACCCAAUGAACAAUAGGCACAAUUCAAUCACCCACAGGUUAUACGAAUACCUCAACACUAAUAACAAAUGCAAUCAAUGACCCCCUGUGGUCCAAAUGUAGUCAAAUUCAGAAUCAAGGCAGUCCAAUCAUGCAACAAGUGCUCCAAAUAGCUUAGUAAAGGAAACCAAAAGGAUAAAAUGCUCCUAAACAAGGCAAUUAGAGGCAACUAACUUCAAUAAGCAAAUUUAAGCGUUAUAGGCACCUCCCAAUUUAACAAGCAAAUUACCCACAAUUAGACACAUAUCACAGCAAAAUAGACACAAUUGGUCCCAAAAUGGUAACAGCUGCCUCCAAUUGGACAGUCAAUUCCCCAAUUCAACCUGCCAAAAUCAGCAAUUGACCCAAGAAAAUGGUAACUCCAGCAACAGUUCGGAGAUCUAGCAGGAGCAACACUUUAAGCACAAAAGCCCAAUAGUCAAUGGUGCACAACAAAAAUGGAAUCAGAGCAAAAUUAACUCAGCCACAAGAACCUCUUAGAAAUCGCAACCGACGGUGCACAGAAACAGCAACUAAAUGCCCAACCCAAAAUCGCAACAAACGCCCAACAAAAGCAGCAAACCCCCAAAGUCAACCCCCGAUAACUUCCAAAUAAAAUAGCUAUCAGAGGGUCUAGAAAAUAUCAAUCUCAAGGGCUAAAAGAAGUCCCAAAUGAAUGAAUUGGGAUAGUAACUACGGCCAUGAAUCAGCAAUCAAUGCACUAAGUAUUAUAGUUGCUGGACUGAACAAAUAAAUGCACAACUCUGCCAACUACAAUUCAGCAGAUGCCCGAAUAAUUUAGCAACUUAAAUCAACAGUCAUAGGGCAUCAAGAAUUCAGUAAAAUAAUUUAGCAGGGACCCGAAAACCAAAGUUCAAUAUAGAACCCAAAGCCUGUGUCCAAUUCACUCUAGAGAUCUAUUCCAGAAAUAGUACCCCAAAUAUAAGUAAUUUACCUUAGAAAAUUAGCCAAAAAAUUGGGAAAAACAAGUACCUCUGCUGCAUGCCAGAGACACCAAGCAGAUGGCCAUGGGUGGUGGAGCAGUGGAGCAGCGGCGGAGCGCACGGAGUCGCUAUAGUGGAGGAGCUGGGGGCUGCGAGGAGGAGCUAUUGGCCGUGAUCUGGUGUGAAGUGGAGAGAGAGCAGAGGGAGGUGGUGGCGGUAAGCUGGGGUGGAGCUUGCGAUGGUGGUAGGACGCUAGGUGAGAAGAGUGCGGCCGUGGUCUGUGGGUGAAGUGGAGCUGAGGUGGAGCUGGAGAGGGAGGGGCGUGUGCGGUGGAGCUCGCGGUAGAGGAGCUUGGCCGCGAGCUGGUAGCGGGUGGGAGAAGCGGAGCAGCGGCGGUUGGCGACGGGCUGGCGCGCGGGGGAGAAGGGCGAGCAAUGGAGGGGCGGCGACCUUGGGGUUGCGCGAGAUGGGUGGUAGAGGCGCGUGAGCUGGUGCGCCUCGCAUCGUGGGCUGGCGGGGCUUUUGGCGGUGGGGGCGUUCGCCGCUGGUGUCGCGAUGGAGUUUCGGGCUGGUGGAGGUUGCAGAGCUUGGGCUGCGAUGGAAGAGCUACUGGUGGCAUUUGUGGUGGUGGAGGAGCUGAGGUGGAAGAUGGGUGGCGGCGGAUGGAGGCUCGGUCGAAAGAAGAAAAUAGAAGGAAAAAGAGGAACAAGGCAGCGGGAAAGAAGAAGAAGAAAAGAGAAAGAAAAAAAAAGAAAAAAAAUAGUUUUCGGGUUUUUUUUUUCAAUGUUUUUUCCAAAUUUUUUUCCGAAUUUAAAUUUUCAAAAUUUGAAUUUUUGAAGAAAAAGAAAAAAAAUCUGAAUUUUUUUUUUUUGAAUUCAUUUUUGGGUCAUCAAACACCGCGUGGACACGUCAAGAUUGUAAAACGUCCACUGACCAUGAGACUUGAAUUUAGACGCUUAACACGUGCCCUACUCGCGUGGGCACGCCAAGAUUACCUAUUUUGGUCAUAGUGAGGAAACAUCAAGAGUGAUUAGUACCCAAGUGAGAAACGACAUAUUUAAGAAAUUGAACACAAAAAUAACAAAAUCAACAAUUGGAUUGCCUCCCAAAAAGCGUCUUUCUUUAAUGUCUUUGGCUAGACAUGCUAUGCUUGUUCACGGAGGAUAAAAUCUUGUAGCUCGCUUCAAUGUUUCAUCUUCAAUGUGAUCCCGGUAACCCUCAUAGAUGGAGUAAUCUUUGAGCACACGAGUUACGGUCUUCCAUGGACUAGUUGAUGGCGCCAAACAAUCAAGCAUUGAUCGCAAUUCUUCAUCCACUCCUCCAUCAAGAGCACUCAACGGUUCAAGAUAUUUGACCAUAGCUACUCUUAACUUAUUUCUGUCAUGAGACUCAAAAACUUCUGGUAUAACAAAAUCAAUCUCAUUAACAGAAAUCAUAGAAUAAGAGUUAAGAAAAUGCGGGUUAGGGAAUGGAGGUGGUGUCACCACAUUUGAUGAUUCUUCACUGGAUUCUUUCACUUGAAUGGGUUGCGGUUGGGGUUCCAUUUCUUCCUUUUCGGCUUCUUUUUCAACUGCAUCUGUAGAUCUCUCAUUUUGACACUCUUGCAUCUCCUCAUCACUAGUCAAGCAAAUUGCACUCUCAUUUUCUUCAAAAUCAACAAUGAUUUUCGAGGGCAAUUCUUCAAAUUGAGAAGUCAAUCGAUUUAUUCUGGAUGUCAAUAGACAUAUUUGAUCUUUCAGAUUACUCAUUGCAUCCUUCAUCAUCUCAGUUCUCAUUUGUGUCUCCUGUUGGAAUCAGUAUGUAUUAGUAGCUAUUGAUUCAACUAUUUCUUCAAGAGACAUACCUGACAUAGAUGAUGAUUCUUGAGACUCAUACCGCUGAAAAUUUAUUGGCCCUGUUGUAUAAUUAUAACUGGAGUUAUCCCACCAUCCUUGAUCAUACCCGUUUGGAUUAGGGUUAUACCACGUUUGAGACCAGGGUGAAAAAUCUCCAUAAUUAUUGAGUGGAACACUCAGAUUAUCUUGAUAUUCGGGGCACAUACCGGUUGAAUGAUCCCUGGCAUAACAAAUUUUACAGGUUGUAGCAACCAUUCUUUCUCUAAUAGAGUUUAGUGCCUCUGCAUAUGCAAACUUAGCAAAAAAAUAAGCCUCAUUGCCUUCCCUGGAAACAAAAUUCAGUCUAUCACCAAAAUACGGAGUGUUAGAAGCCAUAAACUAUAUUAAAAAAAAUUAAGAGAAAAAUAAAUAAAAAAAAUAAAAACAUGAUGAAUUCAAAAAGAAACAAAUUAAUCUGGCACCAGUCCCCGGCAACGGCGCCAAAAAUUGACAGGGUGUCAAACCUGUGCAAUAAUAAAUAUCUGCUCAAAUAAAAUACAAAUUCUGUAGAUAGUGAUAAGUAGGGUCGAAUCCACAGGGAUUAGGGAUAAUUCGUUUCUUCUAGAGUUCAAAGUAUAGGGGGUUUUGAGAUUAAGUGCCAAUUAAACAAAUUAAAUGCAGGAAUUAAUUAAUUCAAAGAAAUAAUUAAGAGAAGCUCUAGCCAAGGGUACACUUCAGAAAUAGUUCAUGCACUGAUCAUUGAUGCAGAAAUAAUUCCAACAUUUAGUAAUAGAUUAGUUAUAGUUGUCAUGCACGCGAUAAACAACCAACCCUUCCUUAAUUUCUCGAUAGUUAAGGUACGACCGUUAGUUAUUUCUCUAACCCAAAAAUAACCCUAGGUACGACCGUAGGAUUUAAUUCCUAGAUUGCAUUAAUAAUUAGAAAGGCCCAACCCUAACCAACAAACACGCUACGAGGGUUUGUUUAAGUUAGAUCAUAUGCUCCCCUGACAUAAACCCAAUUACGCCAGUUGCUACUGAGGUAAAGAUAACGAACAAUUACGGAUUCAAUUACCCCUAUUUAACAAAAAUAGCCUAUAUGAAUAAUUAAUUAUUGCGCACUAAUCAAUCAUACACAAGGCCAUAGCAAUUAAAAUCAAUGAACAUAUAAAUACCAAUAAAUGAAGAAAAUAAUUAAAACAAAUUCGAUCUCACAGUAAUUGUCGAACCAAAUCGUCAAUUGUCCCCUUGACUAGAAAAUAAGAAUUCAGUUCUUCAUUGUUGAGGAAGUUCCCAACAUGAUACUGUCGAAAGUAAAAAACUCAGUCCUGCGGCUAUUCAGCCUCUAAUUCCCUAUAUCCCCCGUGACUAGUCUUCUAACCUAAUAAGAAGAGAAAAGAAUCCAAAAGAUGGGACCCUCCGAAUUCUUUCUUGUUUCCUAUUGAUAGUAGGACUUCCUAACCUCUGUACGUUUCUUCCUAAAUAAUAGACUAAUCCUUUCUUUUCUCCGUGGUCCCCGCACAAUUGAGAGCAAAAGUCCUCCCAAAGAUUCCUGCACCAACCGAGGCUUUCCUUCUUUGUUUUGUUUCCUAUUACUUGUAGGACUCCAAUCUCCUAAUCAGCAAAGGAAAUGCAAUCUCUUUGUAGCAACAUGUGAGCCCGGUUGUUUGAAAUCUCAAUUAUCUCCAAAAAGUCCCUCAUUUUUGUAGUUUUCCGCUCCAUUCCCUGAAAUUGAGUCCAAUACCAAAUAUAAGUAAAUAUUAACAAUUAAAACAAUAUUUGGCAAGGAUAAAGGGGGAAAUUAACAAUAAAAUAACCAACAAUUAACACCCUAUCACUAUAUUUUAGUAGUUCUUGUAAUUUCUUCCCCCCAAAAAGAUUAAAAUUCCUUUUGAGAUAUUAUUAUUUCAUAAAUUUUUCAAAAGAAUAAAAAGAUGAAUAUGAAAAUACAUUAAAAAGAUAGGGUAAAGUAUUAAAAUAUGCUUACAAUUGGAUUUUAUUAAGUUGUGGAUAAAAUGUAACUUCGCAUAAUCUAUUCUUUCCUUUAGUUUUCAAAAUAUUUGGUGUUUCUUUUCUUUUCUUUGUAUACGUAAUCCAAACAAGAUGGUUAGAAAUACUUUUUUCUACUUUGAUUUAUUGAUUUUUCGUUAAAAUCAUACCUUUUCUAUUAAUCCAAACAUUGCCUAAGAGUUGUUAUUUCUUUUAUUACAAAUGAUGAAAGUUUCUUAUUAAUCAUGUGAACUAAUAAACCCUGUAAGUUAAAGAAAUAAUUUUAAAAACACAACAUAUUUUUAGGAUAUUUUAUAUUUUUUAUCAUUAGCAAUCUAUUGUGAUGUCUUUUUUUAGUUAGGAAAAUACCGGUUUUCAUCCCCAAACUUUGGGGUAAGGACACAUUUCGUCCCUCAACUUUUGGGCACGACACAUUUGAUGUCUGAAUUAAUAUUUUUUGACCAAUGUCAUCCUCAAACGGCAAUUUAGCCAAUUUUUAAAGGAACUGGUAUUUUCACAUGACCGUUAAGUAAACUUAAAUCACAUUUUUAAGAAACCUGCCAGUUCCCUGCAUGCAAUCAGUUAACUUUUGGCAAUUUUGACUAAGCAUCCAUCAAUAAACACUUGCGUCCCGUACGUAAGGGGGGAAAAAAAGCUAAAAAUAAGGAUAAAAUGAAAAAUAGGCAAGAAAAGAAAUAAUCAGCAUGAAAAAUGAAAAGGGAUAAUUUCACAAACAUUCCUUAAGAUUUUUAAUAGUUACAAAAAACUCCCCUCAAAAUUUAAAAAUUACAUAUACUUUGCAUACUUUUACUAUUUACAUAAGAGCAAAUUAUUUGAGCAGGCAUUGAACUAUUUGAAUAGUAAAAAUUUGGCCCUUCAAUUAUUCAUAACAUAUUUUUACCCAUUGAACUAUUAAAGUAUAAACUUUGAGUUAUUCAUAACAUAUUUUUACCCAUUGAACUAGUAUGUUUUGUAUUUAACAUAAAUUAAAUAUAUAAAAGUUAAAAAAAUAAAUAAAUUACCCAUAACAUACCAACUAUUUAUGGAAAACUGGCAAGUUUUGUAGUAUGUUUUGUACCAACUCUUUAUGGGAAACAUAGUUAUAGGAAAAAUUGGUUAAAUAGCGUCCAAAGGAAAACUAGUAUAUUUUGUAUUUAACAUAAAUUAAAUAUGUGAAAGUUAAAAAAAAUAAUAAAUUGUCCAUAACAUACCAGCUCUUUAUGGAAAAUUGGCAAGUUUUGUAGUAUGUUUUGUACCAACUCUUUAUGGGAAACAUACUAGCUCUUUAUAGGAAAAAUUGGUUAAAUAGCGCUCAAAAGAAAACUAGCUAGUAUGUUUUGUAUUUAACAUAAAUUAAAUAUGUGAAAGUUAAAAAAUAAUAAUAAUAAAUUGCCCAUAACAUACCAGCUCCUUUUGGGAAACUUGCAGGUUUUGUAGUAUGUUUUGUAUCAGCACUUUAUGGGAAACAUACCAACUCUUUAUAGGAAAAAUUGGUUAAAUAGCGCUCAAAAGAAAACUAACUAGUAUGUUUUGUAUUUAACAUAAAUUAAAUAUGUGAAAGUUAAAAAAUAAUAAUAAUAAAUUGCCCAUAACAUACCAGCUCCUUUUGGGAAACUUGCAGGUUUUGUUAAAAAUGUGAUUUAAGUUUACUUAACGGUCAUGUGAUUUUCACGUGACCAGUUCCGUUAAAAAUUGGCUAAAUUGCCGUUUGAGGAUGACAUUGGUCAAAAAUUAUUAAUUCAGACAUCAAAUGUGUCGUGCCCAAAAGUUGAGGGACGAAAUGUGUCCUUACCCCAAAGUUUGGGGAUGAAAACCGACAUUUUCCCUUUUUUAGCUUGAAGAGGCCAUAUUUUGGCUUGUUCAAUUCUUGUUCAAAUAUUUUCAAAUUCUAAUAUUAAGGGUUUAGGAAUUUUAUGUACAAAUCUUGAUUCCAAAUUAACAAAUUUUUCUCUCCAAUACUUUAACUUUGCUAUUUUUUGCAAAUCCAUGGAAAAUAGUCGUUGUUAAUAAGUUUUGUUGUGCUCGUGCUAGAGUUUAGUCUUUAUUUUUUAUUUUUAACUAAUAUUUUCUUUUGAUUCUAAGUCAACGAACUAGUAAUAAAUUGAGAGGUGCUUUUGAUAUGAAAUAUUCUUCUCACUCUUGAAAUCAUUUUUCUAUUGUUGAUUUUUUCGAAUUGGAUGAAUUUGUUACAAGAACAUUUGUUUUAAGGGAGGUUAAUGAUAUUUUUAAACUUUAGAGGAGGGCAAUGAAACUAUCAAAAACCUCAGGGGAGGUUUCUGGAAUUAUCCCUUCUUUAUGGUUUAAGAAAAGGUGCUAUAAUUCAUAGCAUGUAUCUUUACCGGUCGAACAGAUGAUGCCACCACUUAGUGAACUGAAUCCUAGAAUGACUCCUAUCUAUGAUCAUCAAAUCAUUGUAGCAUUCUGUUAUCAACUGCUAGUAGAAAGUGCAAUCAAUCUAGUAGACUCCUAUUUACUCUUUCUAUAGAGUAACCUUUUAUUUACGGAUAGUAAGCGUAGAGAUUUGUGAAACAAGAAAAGAUUCAAGAACAAGCCCAGAUGGGAGAGAUUACCAGAAAUCUGACUAGACUAAUAUGGACUCAUUCAGUCUAAAGUACGAUCAAUACACAUGCAAAUUUUUCGUUUAGACAAAACGCAAUGGACAAUGAAAGGAAAAUGACAAGAUUUAGCAUUCACUUGAAACCACAGAACUACCAAUAUCAUCAAAAUCUAGUAUGGAGGCAAUUAUCUUCUUCAUUCCAGCUGAACUCAAAACAAUUGGAGUUCAAGAACAGAGUAUUACAAGUGACAUAUUACAACAGGUUGGACCAGCAACAACACAGUCUAACAACACAAAUAUGUGAGCUUAAUAAAAUUAUUGUACUGUACAUCUACAUUCACAGAUUACACAAGCUACAUAUGGAUAAUCAAGGACAAAAAUUAGAUAAAAGCUGAAUUAUCUACCAGCUUUCAACUAAAUAAUCUCACUCUAACUAUACUAAAACCUAUAGUACACAAGCGACGAGGCAAUAGUGUACCGACCUAGCUACCGGGACCCCUAAAAUUCCCCAGAGCCUCAACACGAUUUUGGCAAAGAAACUCUUCAGUCCUACCAGUUUUGGUCAAGCACAAUCUGCUCAUGCCUCAUCGAGUUUCAGCAACUCUGGAAGUCAAUGCUAUUUUAAGCUGCUCUUGCGUGUAAAACCUCUUUCCCAUCCUCACUGUAUUUUGCUGGAUCAUCAAAUCAUUCACCACUGAUACACUGGCAUGGAGCAACUCCAGGUCAAGAUCCUUGAGGGCCCCCAUUAUCCUAGCAGCUGGGUGGUUGUUUUUACUGGACUGGACUCGAAUCAUUGCCUCCCAACCGAUGAUCUUCACAUCUAUGUCCAUAUCCAGACUCUUGCUUCCUUGGUGGCUUGCCAACUUGAGAUCUUUAUCCGGCGGGGGAGGUGCGAAAUUUCUAGCCUCUUUGCUGGUUAAUUCCUUCUUCAAGGAGUCUAUCUGGUUCCUCAAUUCCUCUUUAUCAGACUCCAUAUUAUGAAGCUUCGAUUUCAACUCAUUAAUAUAAGAAAUAGCAUCCCCAAGAAGGGAGGCUUUGUCCAUUUUUGACACAUUAGGAACCACAGCUCGAAGUGCAUAAAACCUCUGGUUCAACUUCUCCCUCCUCUGCCUCUCUGCCUCCACAUGAUUCAGAGGCUCUUCUCUUCCAUUGGCAGGCUUCCUUCCUCGCUUCCUUGGCUUUUUCUCAGGGUCAACAACUCUACUACUGUCAGCUUCCUUCGCCACUGACGCCUCAAGGUCCGAAUGAUCUGAAUCUCCACCGCCACCACUAGACUUCACCACACCUGAAGAUGGCAAAAUCACACCUGAAGUAAAUGAAAGCAUCCCUUCAUCAUUACUUCCCCUCGAGACAGGUGACCUUUUCUUGCUCUUACUUUCAUCACCAACCCCAAACGGUGAUUGACCUGAAAAUAAAUUCCCAUUUGCACAACAACUCCUCUUUGCAGUACUUUCACCCCCAAAGUUCAAGAUUUCCCCUGACUCCGGCUUACAAGUUGCAUUCCUAACACUAUUUCCCUCAAACCCAUAUUCUGAAAAAUUCAUUUCCCUUGUAUAAAACCCUCCCGACUGCUGGGAUGAAUUAUGAUGAGCAUUUAGGAUAUUCCCAGGAUUAUCAGUCAAAGUACUAGAACUUGGGUUAUUAUCAUUUCCAAACAACAUCUGCUUAUUAUUCGCACUAGAAGGAAUUGAACUCCCUUGGCCAGUGGUGUUAUUAUUGUUAUUAACACUUUCUUUAACCCCAGCAGCUGAAGAUGAUGGAUCAGUAAGCCAAAGUGCUGAAGGAUCGCUCUCGGGCUGAACUGGCCAAGAGCCAGAACCCGAGCCCGAACCCAUGUCCAUAUUAUUGAAGUUGAAGAGUACCCUAACCUUAUUCAUUAGAUCAGAGCUCUGAAAGAUCAACUCCGUGGAACCCAGCUCAACGACGCCGUUUGCUGAGGGGAUACAAACCAAAGUCUGAAGCCCAAAACCCUGAGCUUGCUGGGCCCUUUCGCAGUGAGAGCUCGCCAGCCUGUCUGCGCCUGCGACCCAAACCGGGCUUGAAUUAUACAAAGCCUGGCCCGGAAGCCCGCUUCCGUUUACAAAAGAUUGAGUCAUGGAGAUUAGGAAGAACCACUCAGUAUCAGUGACCUCCUCAUCGACAGCAUCGUCGGAGGAGCCCUGUGGACCCGCAAUCAACGAAUUGAGCUCCCGGAGCACCUUUUUCCGGUGCUCCUGUUCGAGUAGUGAAUUAGUGGAAGACGAAGAAAGCGGAUUCUUCCGCUUCCCUUUAUCUUCUUCCCCUCUGUAGUACCCGUCGCCCCACCCCAAUACAGAUGGGCCGCCGCAAUCCACCACCGACGACUGCCAGAAUAUAGCAUAAGUCCAGUACUCCUGAGCACCAUCAAUCAGAGUCUGCAGGCGCUGCUGGAGCGUUUCCUGGUUGAAGAAUGAAGACGAGGGAAGGGAUUUGGAGGAGGAAUCCAUACCACCGCCACCUGCAGCAGUGAUAGUUGAGGAAGUUGUCGAAGGAAUGCUCUGGUGAAUACUCAUAGGCGGCCAUAAAGACCCCGGAUCCGCCGAGUUCAUAAAGACCUCCAUCAUGGACGUAUUAUCAUCACUGGUCAGCGAUGUCGGGGUUUGAUUUCCCCAUAGAUUCAUCUUCGUGUGAACUCGAUAAUCAGUCAUUCCAUCCACCAUCAAAGUAACAAACCUUGUAGAUGCAGAAUUGCUGAAAGAAAGAUGGUGGGAAGAGGAAGAAGAGCAGUAGUGGGAAUUGAGAGUAGUGAGUCAGAGGAAGAGACGAAGGUGGAGAGAACUGUGGUGAGGGGCGGCUAGCGGUUGGGGAAGAGAAAGAGAUAUGAUGAUGGGCAACAGAAGAGGAACAGGAUGGGGAGAGUAUUCGGUGGGGUUGGGGAAGUAAAUUUGAUUUGGGUUUGGGAUUUAUUUGAGGCGAAUUUGAGCUGAAUUUAGUUUGGGAGAGAGGAGAAUGGACAAAAAUGAAAAAGGGACUGCGGCGGGUUCCACGAAGGCGAUCCGCCGAUUUAAUCGUGGCGUCUACUAUUUUCAGUGGUAGCCGGCGCUUUUCACCGUAGCCCUACCACAGUAAUGUAUUCCACUGUGGUAGUGUACCGCGCUAGUAAGUAAAUUACUAGUAAACCUUACUAAGCACCGUGGACUCCAAUCCAUACACCACUAUUAACAUUGGACCAGCAUAUACCAUAUACUACUACUACAAAAAGUGCUAUUCUAAUUUUAGCCCUAAUUCCACGGGAUAAACUACAAUUUUAUUUAUUUAUUUUUCUUUUGUAAAUGAGAGGUACUGAAUCUAUAAUUUCUUACUUAUAAUUUCUCCUACUUUACUACAGAUAAACUACGUUUUAAGCGUUAAUUUGUUUCAUAAGAGUUUAAUUUAUUCUAUAUGGGAUGUACGUGAUUUAGAAAUGGGUGACUGAUAGCGUUCGAAUUUACAAUGUAUCAUCCACUCUAUUCUUAUUGUUUGCUUCUUUUUGUGCUGGUAAGGUAAUAUUAGAAAGAGUCUUGCUAAAUUUGUUCAGCCUAAUCAUGUGCCUCUCACAUGCAUUAUUUCUAUAUUUUGAUGAAAAAAAAAAGAUUUCACCAAAGAAGAAGUGGGAAGACAGGAAGGAGGGUGAGUAACUAGUUUGAGAUGAAAUCAAGGUAUAAAAUCCUUUUACUUGUGUUUGAAGGGUAACAUGGAGGGAUAUUGGCUUACGUUUGUUUAGCUACAUUGAUCUUCAAAGGGAUGUAAUUUGGGUUUAAUUAGAUAUCAUUGAGUCGAACAUAGAAAGUCAAUCUCUGAAAUUAAGAUGUUAUGACCUUAGGAGAUCGGUCAUGUAAGAGUUAAGAUUGAGUCUGCAAUUUGAUCUUACUGGCUUUAAUGAGUAAAAGGAAAUGAAUGAAAUGGAAAAAGAAAGGAAAUGAUUACUAAUGUCUGAAUCAGGUAAUGAUCUUUGAACAACUUAUUUUGGAACAAAAAUCCCCAUAAGGAAGGCCUAAAGAUCAAGAUCCUUGCAUCAUAAUUAUGCACAACUUAUUCGAAAACGUUAUAAAGAUAUUUGUUGCCACCAUCCAUAUAAGAAGUGGAUUGUCUAGCAUAUGAAUAGUUUUUACCAAAUUUAUCAAACAUGGAUGAGUCUUGUUCCAAAUUUCCAAUCAUCACAAGAAAGAAGUUGCAUUCUAAUUUGACAUGCCCCCAUUUACAAUUUUGGUGAAAUGACAUUUUUCUUCUCAUGAAUUCGAGAUUCUACUUGUUACAUCCUCACUGAAAGGGAAAAAUUGUUAGUAAGAAAGAAAAAAUAUAUAUAUUAAAAGCCAUUAACAAGGGGUCUUUUUGAAUUGGAGAUUUUUUUUUUUUUUUUAGAAUAAAAGGGUGGAGUAUGUGAAAUGAAAAGUGGUUAAAAAUAUAUUUAUGAUACAACAAAAAAAAUUUGGGAAGAAAUCUCAGUCCAAAGUAACCAUUUUUUUGCCAUACUAUAUAGUUUACAAUUGAUUUUGUACAUAGCAAGUUAAUCAGUGGAUUUUCCUUUCACAGAGGUAAAGAUUUCUUUAUUCUAUGUUACUUUAGGUGGAAAAUUCGAAUAGUAACGUGUCUUGAGUUAUUAACUUGCAAUAAAAUGUAGGCAUAGUGAGAUACUUAAAAGAAUAAGCAAAAUAAAUUAAUUAAAGGAAGUUAAGAUUUAAAGGCACUCCAAAUGAAGUUCUGAUGCAAGUACUUUUCACUCCCAAAUCUGGCCUUUGUUUUUUACCCUCCAAACCGUAUAAUUCCAUCAAAGCCUAAGUCAAGUCUAUACAGGAAGAGAAAAUUGAGCAAAAGAUUUAUAUAAAAAAUUGUUCUAUAGGUUUAAUCCAUGUGUGUAUGUAUAGGAUUAAUCUUUUACACACUGACAAUAUAUACAUCAUCAUCAUUAGAUGUAUGACAACUCAUUUAAAUUCCAAAUUUUACUCAUAUAGGAUUAAUCUUCUACACACUAACAAUAUAUAUAUCAUCACCAUUGGAUGUAUGACAACUCAUUUAAAUUCCAAAUUUUACUCAUAUGUCAUGCAUCCAGUGUCAUGCAUCCAACUGUCAGUGUAUAUAAUUUUUACUCAUAUACAUAUAUAUAUAAACUUACUGAAUGUUCAUGUAUAUAAUUAUUUUUAUAUAUAUGUGUGUAUGUGUGUAGUGUCUAUGCGUACAAAAAUUUACAUAGUCAGUAUGGUGUUGACUAUGGUUAGAAAGCUCCAAGAGGAAUCCAUUGUCAUGUUAUUUAAUCAUUGGGAUAAUUUCAGAAACCUCCUCUGAAAUUUCUCAUAAUAUCUCUCAGCUCUUUUGAGGUUUUUAAAAUCUCACUUAUCUCCCUUAAAUUGACAUUUCUUGUAACAUUUUAACCCAUUUAGAGAAAAUACGAGAAAGAAAAAACUUUUGUUCCAACACUACCCUUAUAUUAGCUUACUUAUGACAUUUAUAACAACAAUAAAAAAAUAAAAUAAGGUUAAAUUUUUAUAAGGUAUAAAUUUCUUGACGUAAACGAUUUAUUUUAGUUGUAUCGAAACAAAAGCAAAAUUUAAACCUUGAAAAAUUCACACAUAUGAAGAAAUUAUUUUAGUUUUCAAUACAACUUAAACUAUACUAUGGAUUGAAACAUAUUUUCCCAAAAAAUAUCUUGACUUCCUUAAUUGUAACUGUGCACGAAAUUUUUUAAGGUAUUAAUUACUCACCAAAGUCCUCUUAAGUGAUUGAUCUUGACUAAAUUUAAUUUAUCCACAUCCUUUGCUAUCCCACCAUGACCCCAAUGUAAAGAAAUAUCGACCAUUAUAAGCUAGUAAUUUGUUUUUUCUUUUAAUUUACACUUUUUGGUUUAAAAUUUUAUUUUAUUUUGGAUUUUUGGUUAAAUAGUUAUUAAGAGCAAGAGUAAUGUUGUCAAUUUGUGACCUUUUAUAGGAAUAUUUAAUCUUGUAAAAUUGACAAGGGAGGUAAGUGAGAUUUUAAAACUUCAGGAAAACUGAGUGAUUUAUAAUAAACUUCAGGGGAGGUUUCUAAAAUUAUCCCUUAAUAUGUACUGGUCUUGCACAAAGUUAGUAACUUAUUGUCUCAUAUGUAUAAACAUGAUUUGUUCACGCAACAGUCUUUACUCUUUAAAGGUAGUAUGAUAUCCUCGUCAUAGUAUCCCCCUUCGUAAAUGAGAAAGCAAAAUGCAUAUGAAUUCAUGCCUUCAACGGCCUGUUUCUUCCUCUAACUGGUCAAGUAUUCGAAAGAGAAUCAAUCAUAUUCACAAGUUUUUUACCACAAGCAUUUCGUUUUCUUUUAAGCAUGACUAAUGGAAAUUUUAUCACAAUUUGAUACGAUUGUUGAAAUCUAGUAUUUAACAUCAUCCCUUGUGGUGACCAGUGGCUUGCCGGAGUUAUCUAUGAUUUCGAAAAUAUAUUUUAAUCCAUGAUACUGAUGUAGAUUGAAUCCAUCCAAACUUUACCACAAAAAAAAAAAAAAAAAUCAUCCCUUGUGCUUCCAAAAGUCAUUAGAUCACUGUUAGUAAGUUCAAAACUAUGUUUUAUAGAAUCUUAAUUCGAAUUUUUGAAGCCUCAAAUGUGAGCUUUGGCAUCAAUUCCUUUACAUCUCCAUUCUUGGCGGGUUGUCCCUCGCAAAUACAAUAUUAAAGUGUUAAACCAACAUAGGACUUGAUCUCGUGUCCAAUUAAAAAAAUUAAUAAUUAAAGUUUCACAAUGGCUAACUAUUUCAAAUAUUUGUUUCAAAUAACUCGAGAAUUGGCACCCUCAAGAUAAUUCUUUUGCUUAAAUUUUAUCCAAAUUUUACCUCAUACUCAAUAAGUAACCCAAAUUUCUAUCCCCUUUUGUUUGGAUUGUGAAUUAUUUUCAAAUUUUAUUUACUUGUAACAUCAACACAUUUUUUAACUAUAUUUUUAUCUCACAUACAUCACUUAAAAAAAAUGCUACUCAAAGGGUCCAAAAGUUUCGUACAUAUGCUUUUUCUUCCUUCCUCUUGGUUUGUGACAUGGAAGCAUAUAGGAGGCACAAUUUAUACAAGCAUCUCUUUAACCUAAUUUAUCUUAAUUUUGACAUUUCUUAUGAAUUUUUUUUCACUGCAGGUGAGAUUCGAAUCCCCACCUAUAUGCCAGACAGGAAUCUAGUCCCUUUUUUAUAACCACCGACCUUUGGCUCAGUGGUUUAUAUAAGCAUCUCACAAACUAGAAAAUUAAACAAUUUGGGGUUGGGACCUAAUUCCAUUCUACCGUUGGUUUGGGAAUCGUCACAUGAGUGCCCAAUUGCAUAUCUUAUCUCUAUUGGCUAGUUGUAGUUUCAGCUUUCCAAGAAAUAGCCGCCAGCAGCAAAACGCAAAACCAAUUCCUCGUCGGCUGUGAGCUCAAUUAAUCGGCUAGUUAUUGGUCCACGAAAGCGACAACACAACCACUUCAUCUGGAUCUAUCUUUAACUGAAUAGUUAUCUUUUCUACUACCACUUUUUGAUAAAAGUAAAUUUUAUUGGCAUAUUGUUGAAAAUCAUUUAGUACGGUUUAAUUUACAUUAUCUUCCUAAUAAUAGAUCAAAUAUAUAUUAAAAAUUUAUAAUUUAUAAUUUAAUAGAUACGAUACAUUUGAAAAAUUUUCAACAAAUCUAAAUAAUACAAGAAAUUUCUACGAUUUUGAUAUUUAAGUUCCACUAUAUUAACCUAACAUAAAAAAUUUGUCAUAAUUAUAGAAUUUCCUCUAAUCUUUUAGAGUUCUAAUAACCACUUUGAUAAAUAUUUUAUUAGAACCUUUACAACUAUUUUUAUAAAACAUGAUAAAGUAAGAGAAGUAAAGGAUUGGAGUCUGAUUCUACUACUAGCCGCCAUAAACAAAUAAAAAAUCCUUAAUAACUAAAAAUCUUUUUAAUUGUCUACUCAUUAGCAUUUUACUCAUAUAUUUAAAUUUUCAAUGAAUUAUAUAUUCAUUAUUUCAUGUGUUUUGUGCAUGUGAUGUGAAGCUAGAAGAUAAUAUAGUACAACAUACCAAAGACAAAUCUCAAUAUGAAUGUGACUUAUUCUCAAUCCUAACCUUUCCCAAGUAAUGUGCUAAGCAAACAAACCCAAUUGUCAAAAAUAAAAGUGGAGAACCAAAUUGGCUUAAUAAUAAAAGUUAAAGAGUGACAUUCAUAAAUUAAAGUUAAUGGACCAAAAGUGAAUCAGUAGACAAGUCUGAGGACUAUUUCGGCAAUUUACCCCAUUAUGGAGUAAUGUAGUACUGUAGUACAAGACAAAUAGCAUAAGGUCGUCAUCACUCAUCAGGACCAAACGUGCUUAUGCAUGCCAGAAAAUGUAGGUGGGAACGACAGGGAUGAGACUAAAUCCUGACCGUCGAUUGUGUCUUCGCUACAUCCAGAUUCCGCGAGUGAAAAACAAUUAUUAUUAAAUAUAUAAACAACACUAAAAUUUUAUUGUCCACGUUUUGCUUGAUGCGUGGCGUGAAAAUGACGAGGAGCAAUUCUUUAUUUGUUGGGCCACGUUUGGAUGAUCCUUUAAAAUGCGGAAAGCCAACCCCACUUCCACAUUAUUGUCUAUUUGCUUCGUCAUCCUUUAAUUAUAGAUUACCUUCCCCCUUGUUUCGGGGGUAUUUCUCGACAGGAAGUCUGCAGAGUUAAAUCAUAUUUUACUAAUAUUUUACACUUUUUUUCUAUGCACUUUUUUUUUUUUUUUAUCAUUCGUCGCUUUUUAUCUAUAUCCUAAUCUAUCUAGGUGGAGACACAACUGGACCUACGGACAAGUGGGGACUGAAACACCACCGUACUUAUUACUAGCACAAAAAGUUCUUUCCUUUUCCUCUCUCUAUCUCUCUAUCUCUCUUCUCUUUUCUCUCUCUCUCUCUUAUUUUUUUAUGUACACAUUGUACUAGUAGGUUUUGUUGUUAAUGAAGUAGAGAAAUACUAUGUGAUUAUAGUUGAUAAAUGCUUACAUAAAAUUGGUUUUUUUUUUCAAAGUGGGCAUUCAUUAAAAUACAGCUCAGGAAUUAAAUUUUUUAAAAAAUAAAAUUAUUUAGACAAAGUGUAUAAAUGUAAAAGAUAUCAUGAUAAUUGUUAGUGUAUGGGUCUGUUUGGCAAAUAAGUUUUUGGUCAAGUUUAUCUGUUACAAGUUUUUUAAUAACUUUAACUACAGUAAUCUGAAAAAACUUCUCAAAGUAUUUAAACUAUAUAUUUCAAAAUAUUCAAAAAUUUACACUCUUCAAAAAAUUUUCCUAUAACUUCUACAGUAAAUCAUAAUCAAGUUUUAAACAAAUAUCCAAAAAACUCAUUUACUAAACGGGCCUAUGUAUAUACAUGAUGAGUUGAAUAUGAUUUAAAUAUAUUAACGAGUGCUCAUCAAUGUUCUCGGAGAUUUUUUUUUUCAGUCAAUAAGUACACUGAACUUGGGUGGAUACGGAUGGGGUGGCUCACAUGGGGGUUGGAAAAAAAAAGGUGCACGGAAUUGUUGAUUUUCUCAUUUAAUUUUAAGCAUAUUUUUGGGCCUUAGUCAAAUGGGAAAUAAUAGAGUAAUAAUCUCAAAUUAAGUAAAGAACAUAUAGCUAUCUUUUUUCAGUUUACGUGUAUUAUUUUACUCGUGUCGACUUUUGACCGUUUCAAUUUUUUGGUAGGUGGUCAUGAAUAAUUUUCGUUAAAUCUUUUAUUAUUGAUUUUAUGCUUUUAUCUAUAACAUGCAUGACGAUGGAACAAUUUCUCUUAAUUAGUUCCCUACAACCUGUGGUAUCAUUAGAAAAUCUCUUGUCGCUAUUCAAGUUGGACGAAAGGAAUUUACAUUAGCAAGCAAAAUCUAAUUUUUUUUUAUUAUCGUUUUAUCUUGCUGUUCACUAUUUGAUUAUUUCUAGCUAGUCAAUCCAUUAUUAUCUUUUUGCUUUUGGGAUGAUCAGGCUAAAAGUUGGCAAAACCCUACCUUAUUCUUUAUUUUAAUUUAUAUAUAUAUUUAUAUAUAUUGGAUAAAGUAACCCUUGCAAUGUAAUCUUGGAAAAUCUAAUUAGCGUAAGCAACAAGAAGUAAAAUGUUGAUGACUUUUUGUUUUGAAUAGACUACGAUGUUUCCUAUGGAAUUUUAGAAUGCCAAUGAUUGCCUUUGUUGAGCCAAAAUUCCAUACCAAAAUUCCCCUUACUAAAUUGAUCCCUCCAUACAUAAUGAAAAUGACAAUUAUAUGUGCCCACGUGUUAGAGGAAGCUACAAACAUUACGGAAUUGAAGAAGAAGAAGAAACAAUUUGAUGCAGUUUUUCAGCAUUUGCUAGCAAGGACAAUAGUAGUAAUAGUCAAAGAUAAGACUAGAAAGGAGUAAUAAAAUUUUGGGUUAAUUCCACUUUGUCCCCCAAAAUUUUGGACGAUUACCCACUUCAGUCCCUAAACUUAUAAAAUGUGACACUUAAAUCCCUAAACCCUUAUAAAAUGGGACACUUCGACCACCAACGGCAUUCAGGAUUUGUUAACAAUUUUCCUUAAGUGUGAUGUAUUUAUAAGUUUAGGGACUUAAGUGUCCCAUUUUGAAGUUUAGGGACUGAAGUGGGUAAUCGUCCAAAGUUUGGGGGGACAAAGUGGUAUUAACCCUAAAAUUUUACUAAAAUUGCACAUAGGAAGGGAGUACAAUGAUGAUGUAACAUACUACUUGGAAAAAUCCAUGCUUGAUGGCAACCCUAAACCCCACUAUGAUUAAGCACCUAUUUAAUACAUUGCAGUAUUGAUAAAACCUUUGCAAAUACAACAAGGCUGACAACAACAUGAUUACAUUUAGAACUUGCAAACAAUAAUGACUAAUAACCAAAAGCUUAAAUUUUAAUAAAAGCUUGUUUGAAUUUCUUUCUUACGUGACAUCACUUGAAUAAAUUCACCAAGCAUCACUCAAAGUGGGCUACAAAGUAGAUUUGCACCAAUGUUGAGUACAUGGACAAAAAUGAGAUUUAUUAUGCGUCUACAACUUUCUUGCUAGUUUGUUUGCAUGGGACAGGGUUUAUCCGGUGUGCAUUUUCGAGCAGCGAUUGUGAACUCCCUUAUCAACAAAAACUUUCUUGCUAAUUUGUUUGUGCAUUCAUGCGGCAACCAUUGGUAGUUGUGGGAAUGGGCGUCUUGAUUGCUGUGAAGUCCACGUUUCAUCUCUACAAUUUGGAUCGCAAUUCUCUGGAGAAAAAAUUUUACAUUUUUCGCGAACACAUUUCUGAAUAACCUUUUUAUUACAUAUAGCAAUAAUUAUAGUGCUUUUUUUUAAACAAAAACUCUUACAAAAUAAUAAUCCAAAGAAGCUAUAAAUUUUUGGACUUAAAAGAGACUAACCUUUACCCAGUAAUGGAUGUAAACGUUGUUUGCCAUAAUAGGCAAAUUAAAUUACAAUGUUUCAUAGUAAAAAAAAUUGAGCCAUAAAAAUAUUUGAUGUGUCUAAACUGUACUUUAGCAUGCAAACGAGGUGUUUUUUUAAAAGAUAAAUAUUUUUGUAGACUCCGGUUUUACCUUGAAUCAGAUAUAACGAGCUUCAAUACCGCAUUCAUAUGUAUGCUAAAAUAGCAUAAAGAUGUAACUAUCCAAGAAACAAAUUUCUAAUGUAUCAUCUACUGCAUCGGGGUCUACAAAAAAUUUUUUUGUUGGGUUGCUUGUGAUCCUCAAAUAAAAGAUAAGUACAAGAAUAGACUUGGAUGGGCACAUGAAACAUUUCUUGCUAAUUAGAAAUUCCAAGAGGACCAUCAACUUGGGAAGAGGAGUAUAUGCUACAGAAAGUAGGAGAGGAGAUAAUAUAUGCUUGUGGGCCAAUGAUUAGUUGAGUGGAGAUUGAGAAGGAUAAACUGACAAAGAUACAGUUGAUCAUCCUAACUACUUGAUUAAUAAUAAUCAGCUGGGCAGUGUUUAACAAACAUGCUUCGUUGAUUAUGGAAUUAUUAUAUCAUGCAAAAAUUAUUUUUUAUUUUUUUAUGAAAAAAUAUGUUAAUUAAUGAGCAAUCAUGUUGGGCCAAAUCAUGUUGACACUAAGACUCCUUAAGAUAUAUUUUUAAGUGUCAUAUUUUUUGAAAAUAUAAGAUUAAUUUGGGAAAGUAAAUAAAUACAAGGAAGGGUAGGAAAGAUUAAAGAGGGAAAGUAUAUAAAUACAAGGAAGAGUAAUAAUUGUUAGUGUAUAAAUAUAUAUAUAUAGUAGGUUAAUUGAAUAUUAGGUGUGUUAACGACAUCCUAUUAGAAAAACCCAUACAUUAUCAAGCAGUCAGGUUAAUGAGCAAUGCAAAUAACUUCACAUUCAAACUGAUUGAUACUAUUUGGCCUUUUGUUGGGCAAAAGAAACCCAUAUUUUAAGCUCAAUGCAAUUUUAUUAUUGAAUUAUCACAACUGUGAAGCUAAUUUUGUAUGAAGAGAAAGUCGUUGCAGUUAGUGAAAAUCCCUUUCUCCUUCCAAGUUGAGGGCUGCUAUCUUCUUUUUCCUCCAUGUACAUUGAAGCGGCACAGAAUAAACAAAAUUAAGGAGACUAAAAAAUUGUCAGUGGGCAACAGACUUUUCAUGAAUUGCAUUAUUCAAGUACAAAUUGCACAUUAUUUUAAUCACCAUUCUAGGGAUCACUAGCUUGUGAAAUGGCUUUGAUUAGAGAGUUCCUACCUGCUCAAUAUCUAAUUAAGUAAUGGCGGGAGAUCUGAUGCCUUUGUAUAUUAAUCCACUUUGAUGUUAUUACAUAUAAACUUUGAUAAUAGCUUAUGACAUUUUCUUUGUUAAUUAUCGUUACUGCGAUAAUAUAUUGGUCCACCUAAUAUGCCACGCCAAUAUAUUGUUUACCUUAGAUUUAAUCAGUUGUCUAACUUACAAAUCUCAAUGACAUAAAAGAAUAUUUCCACGCAGCAAGACCAAAAUUUAUAGUGUCUAAUUAGUAAUUAAUCUUCAUGAAUAACUACUAAUCAAUCUAUGCACUUGUUACUUUGAUCACAUGCACUUGAGGGUAGGCAAUUGCUCCCCUCGGAUAGUAUGAAAUUAUAGAAAAGGCUUAUUGUGUAAUUUUGUAGUGUUUUUGCUUUUAUACCUUAUUUGUCCCUCACCAAUUUUUUAAAAACACUUAUCUGCUCCCUUCAUAUCAAUAAUUUUGUAAAGUUCUCUUAGUUAGACCCUUAACAUUUACAAAAUUCACAUAUUUAUAUACAUCUCUUCCUUCAAAUUACUAAAAUUCUAUCCUAAUGUAAAAUACUACAUACUUCACUUUAUAAAAUAAAAAAAAAUCAACCUUUAUUAGUUUAAGCAUAAGUAUGAUGUUAAUUAUAAGGAUUAAUUUUUCAUACACUAGCAAUGUAUAUACUAUCAGCCUUUGAUGAAUGACAACUAUACAAAAUUUGAAUUUGAAAUCCAAUUUUUACACAUGUGUCAUGAAUCCAACGAUAAUAUUAUAUAUACUCACUGUGUGUGUAAGAUUUAUUUUAAUUAUAAUUCUAAAACAAUAAUUUAUAUAUAAGAGAUAUGCAAUGAUCCACAUUGAAAAUUUAAUUCUAUUACAAAAAUUAUAUAUCGAGAGUUGCCCUCUAUUUACACACAGGUCCUAGUUUCGCCACUAACAUUAACACCGUUCUUUUAGAAAGGAUAUUUAUACAAGGGAUAGUUACAUAUGGUCAAUUUAUUUCUUACUAUGCAGUUUAAACUCUCCCAACACACAGAGUUGAAAAAAAAAAAAAAGGUGACAUGAUAGGAAUAGAAGAAAAGAAAGUGUAUUUGAUAGUGCUGACUGAGUUUUUUUUUUUGGAUGUGAUAUAAUCAGCAUAUGCUGACUGUAAAAACACGUGUAUGAUGCAAUUAUUUAUAAUGAUUAAACCAACCCACGAAAGAAAUCGCUUCAACCGAUACGCAGAAGUCGUGGGGCAUGUGCAGGGACGAGAAUAAUUAAAUUGUAACUUGUAGGGCGACUUUAGCGUGCAAAUUGGCUUUAAAAACGUUGGCCUUGACCGCUAUCAAUGGAUUAGAACAGUAAUCUUAUCUUAUAAUUAUAUAAAUGAAAGAAAUCUGGUUGGAUGUCAGCAGCAACACGAUGGCUCACCUAACCAAAGACAAAAAUUUUCUGGAGCUUUGACCUAAAAUGACUAGAAUAAAUGAAUCUGAUAUUGUUGGGUUUCUUUUAGGUGGAUUUGAAUCUAAGCAAUUUCUCUCAUAGUCAGAAUUAUGCUAAAUGAGUGAAUUGAAGAACGUCUUCUUGUGAGUUGGAUAAGGAAAAAUUUUAAUGUUUUUCAUAAACACAUUUUCAAUCACAUUUUUACUAUAUGUACAUCAAAUUAUUAUAAUAUAUUUAUCUAUAAAAAUUUCAAAAAAUAACUAUCCAAUCCCUUGAUUGUUCAAAACCUACUAGUCUGUUUUUUUGUGGCAAAGAAAAAAGGCAACAAGGGAAUUAAACUAUAGUUCCAUUUCCAGCAAUAGCUUCUUUUUUUCUUUUUUUUUUUCGAUUGUCAUCUCUACUCCUACUCCUACUCUAGCAAUAGCUUCUUAUUGUUUCAUAUCACAAAAGGUGUCAUGUCAUGGCAAGAAGCUUCUUAUAGUUUCAUGACACCUUUUAUAACACCUUUUUGUAACACCUUUUGUGAUAUGAAACUAUAAGAAGCUAUUGCUGGAAAUGGAACUAUAGUUUAAAAAGAAACUAUCCAAUCGUUAUAAUAUACGAUUUUAAAGGAAAUGUACAUCAAAUCGUGUAAUAUAUUUAUCUAUAAAAAUUUCAAAAAAUAACUAUCCAAUCCCUUGAUUGUUCAAAACCUACUAGGCUGUUUUUUUUUUGUGGCAAAGAAAAAGUCAAAAAGGGAAUUAAAAAGAAACUAUCCAAUCGUUAUAAUAUACGAUUUUAAAGGAAAUGUACAUCAAAUCGUGUAAUAUAUUUAUCUAUAAAAAUUUCAAAAAAUAACUAUCCAAUCCCUUGAUUGUUCAAAACCUACUAGGCUGUUUUUUUUUUGUGGCAAAGAAAAAGUCAAAAAGGGAAUUAAAUCGGAACCCAUGAUUAAAAAAGUAGGAAUCAUUAAAGUUGAUGCUUGGAUAACCUUUGAAUGUUGUACUUCCUUCCACUCAAUUAUGUUUGACACAUCAAAUAAGCCUCCUCAAUAAUUGAGGUCCGAUAUUCUUUAGGCAAGAGCCGUAUACAACAAAAAUCCACACAUCAAAAGAUGCUAAUAGGUGUAUUAUUCCUAGAGCUUUAUUGAUUGCCCUUUAAUCACACAAAAUUAAAAUCUUUUCCUUGGCUACUUUAUUUGGCUUAGUUGUUUCUAUUAUUCUGUUCUUCUUUCAGCCUACAUUAAUCACAUUUUUUAAGCGUACCAAAAUCUACGUAAGGAAGGUUAACAAGAGUAAAAUAAAGAAAGAAAAUGACUCUUUCUUUCUUUCUUUUUCUUUUUUUUUGCUCCCAUUUUUGAAUAAUAGGAAAGAAAAGGACUUCUUGGUGUAAAUAUUAAUUUAAUUAGAGCAAUCUUAUCUGUAAUUUCCAAAUAAUUUGUUUUAGAGGGACCAUCAUCCCAAAACUAGGAUCUGUAACCACGCUAACAUAUAUCUUGUGGUUGUAUUUUAAUCCCUAGGUUUUAUCAUGAUUAAUAGCAAGACGCUUGAAGUCUAUCGCUUUCUAUUGUCUUUAAAGCACUAAAAACCAAAGUUGAAUAUUUCCAUUGGUACUCGUUGGUUGAUCUACCGUUUCAUUAUUCAAGGUGGAAUCUGGAAGCCCACCCACUAAUACUCUGCAGUUACAUUUUUUUUAAUAUACGAUUUAACAAGAUUAAUAUUGAUAGAAACGUGUUUGGAUUGCUAUUUUUAUACAAAUUUUUUUUUUAAGUUUUUGAAGGAUAAUAUUUAAUAUAUUUUUUAAUCAUCUUUUAAUCUCACAUGCAUUAUUUUUUUGUAUAAUUUUUCCGGGCAGGGAGGUGGGGUGGAAUUCAAGAAGCAAGAAAGAAAUAGGGACAUUGGAGUCACGUACAUUGUAUCUCGAAAAGUACUAUGACAUUGUUUUUGCUUUCAAAAACCCUAACAAAAAUGCAAUCCAAGCGGCCUCACUCUUUGAAGUGACUCUGCGUGGAUGUGUACGUAUCAAUUAACCAAUAUAGAGGAGUGCUUGAAUUUUCUUUUCCCUUUUUUCUGCCCUUCUUUCCUUCAUGUUUUCUUAUUUUUUAUGUUUGUUCAAGUUCAAUUUUUUUUUUUUGUGCUACCUGGACUUGGAAUAAGAAAUGCCUCAAUUCUUAGAACUAACACUUUAACCAUAACUUUACCUUGUGCAAUUCAAUAAUUGAAACACAGCAAACCCACAUUUCUUUGUAGAGUGCAAGGGUUUUAAAUCGUAGUAUGGUAUGAAUCAAUCAGUUAUUAAGUGUACUAAUCUGGCAUGAUCAUGUGUUUUCAUAAUAAUUAGGUUGAGAACUUAUGACUUUCUAUACCGGGCAAGGGCGAUGUUCCCCAUCCGUUUUUGUUUACCCCAUAUUAUCAAUUUUUUUAAAAAUUGUUCUAAUUAUAAGUAGUAAAUCACUUAAUUACCAUAGAAGAAUGAUAUUUUGCACUUCCAGCUAUUUUAGAAUUUAGACGGUCGGAAAAUAAAGAAAAUUAAUGGGUUCAAUGAAAUAGUUAGAACCUAGCUUAAUUAACUCAGACUUCGCAUUUUGCUGACAUGAAUUAUGAAAAAUCAUAUUUAUGAAUUGGUUUAUCAUUUUGUAGUAUCAUUUUGUAGUAUCAAUAGAUGCGUGCAGCAUUACUCAUAUUUGUCCUGGCCAAAAUUUGCCAAUAAUAUCUAAACAAAUUAUGCUGGCAAAUUUACAUGAGUGGCUCUAAAAAUUGGAGCAUAAUCCAAAUUCGAGACUGAAUGGUAAUUCUUUGAAAGGAUGUUGACAUCUCGUCUAAUUUGAUUGUAGGCUUCAGAAGAUGUUGUAAUUUUGCUAAUAAUGAUUGACGGGACAUUGUUUUGCUGGAAAUUUUUUGGACCCUUCUAAGUUUGUACAAAUAUAUUUUGCACGAAAACAAUAAAAUAAAAAGAUUUUUUUAAUUUUUUCAGCAAGAAAAAAGUGGGAUUUAAAAGGAGGGAAUUUGAAAAGAAAAAUAAAAGGAGACAGAAACUGAAAGGCUAGUCUUCCUAACAAAGUUAGUACCUCAGGAAAGAUUCAUAUGUCUGGAGUCGGUACUCCAUGUCUUAUGGUCGUAAAUUUAUCUCUUGGAAUACAUAAAUUAAGCUUUCACUUCAGUAUAAAAUAGAAUCUAAACAAAUCGCGUUCAACAAUUUUUAAUUAAUGUAUUAAUAAUAUUGACUUCUGUUUUAUCCAAAAAAAAAAAAAAUCUAAACAUGUCAUUGAUAAGAAUGAAGGUAAUUAACAUAAGGUUUUGUGGUUUUGGAGAAAAUUACAAUUAAUGAGACUUAAUCAUGAAUAGCUUUUUGGUACACUUUAAGAUAUUGGACAAGCAAAAAGCUGUUAUUGUCUAGCUUGUUAAAUCCGCAAUUUUCUCCAAAUGUUGUAUGAAACAACUCACAUGUAGUCCAAGAGAGUCCACUCUUUUGGAGGAUAAUGCAAGAAAAGUGUUAAAAAGUAGUACCACAAAUUAUGGGGAAAAAUACACAAACAUUCACUGAAUUGAGUACUAUAAUAGGUGACAACAGUCAUAAUUCAUAAUUAUGGGUAUCUUUGUAAAGAACAUUAAAUCGCUAUUUUAGGAAACAUUUUGCAACGAAGAAAGACCGUAUGUAGGUUUUUUUUUUUUUUUUGGAGGGUUGAAGCUACCUGUGUUUGGCAAAUGUUGCUUCCACUGCGUGGUUUUUUAUGCUAAUAAGUUGUAUCAGAAUCCAAUAUUCAAGAGUUUGAUUUUGGGAUAUUUGUGGAACCUGGAGGGUGUACAAAAUUUUUGAUAGAGGAACUUGUACCAUAGAAGGAUACAGAGAUUGUGGUAGAGUACUCGUAUAUUGAAGAAUUGGAUCAUGAGAAUUGGUCUUGGAGUACUCAUUCAUUGAUUGAAAUUAGGGAAAAGUGACCCUAAUUGAACAGAAGUCCAUAAAAAGGAAUUCUGUUGAGAUUGUUGGUAUUGUGCAGUGAUCAGGGAAAAAGAUCCUGCCAGAUUAUUGAUUGUCACAAUAGUGUUUGAUCAAGUUUGGAGCCAGGGAAGUCAAGAAAUUCAAGUAGGGAAGAAAAAUUUUGUGAAAGUACGUAAAUUGUUUUGAAUUGCCAUAGAUAGAGAAUUUGUCAAUGGUAAAAAUUAUUAUCGUAAAAAAGAUUAUGAAAGGCAUGAUUUAUUAAUUGAAAGUUACGUGGAUUGUUAUUCAAGAAAAUAUGGUGGUUCUAAUUGCAAAUAGAUUAAUAUGGAUGACUUUUUUGAUCUAGAAGAAUUAGCAACAAAAUUGUAUACAGUAUGCAUAAGUAUGUAGAUGGGUAUCAAUUACAAGUUGCACUUGAGUCACACUACUACAAAGACUGCAAAGUUGACUGAAACUCGUAAUGUCAUUGGAGAUGACAACUACUAGAGCUUGAUACGAGAGAGACAUUAUUGACAUAUUGUAAACCAAACAAUAUUUGCAAAUUUAGUAGUUUUAGAAUUAUAUUUUUUUUUGGUAACUAUAUUAGAUUUGAUGUCACAAUUGAUUUAGAAAAUAAAUUGAGUCAUGUUGUUGUAUUAUAAUUAGAAUAACAUUUGUGAUUAUGUUUCUCUAUUUAAGAACUUGGAGUUCUAAGUUUGUAGUUGAGAGAAAUUAGUGAAUUGAAGUAGAAUAUUUUGUUUCCUCUUGUGCCUUUCUUACUUAUAAAAUUUUAAUAUUGCCUCCGCUGUAUGAUUUUUUGUGCAAACACCCUAGAUUUUUUUCUUUAAAGUACCUCCCGUUUCACCGAAAUUGGACCAAACGCUCAAGGGCUCCUCUUGUUGGCUGCACAACUUGCACUUUAUCCUUAGGUCGCGAUCCAAUUAAUAGUCUUUAACUGUUAACAAUAUGAUCAAAACAUAGUGCGGAGGAAUUAUUGGAAAUUGAAAAAUGAGGCGAUACUCUUUUAGCAUUACUACUUCUAUGCUGCUAGGAGGAGAAAGUAAAUAUUAGACCAAUUAUUAGUGUUUAUCAUAUCUAAGGGUGCAUUUGACAAAAUUGAAAUCGAAAAUUUGAAAUUUGAAAUCCGAAUCCGUUAAGUGAUUAAAUUGUUAAGUACUAAAUCUGAUACAUUUGAGUAUAUAUCACAUUAAGUGAUAAUUGAAUAGUUUAUCACUUUUUUUUUGGAGUAAACUUUCUCUAGAAAAUUUAGUGUUGCUUAAUUGAUUCAAAUGUUCUAUUUUUUAUUAUCAAAUAUGUCUAAACAUUUUAAGAUCUGAAUCCAUUAAAUUUAAGUACUGAAUUGGGAUAUCAAACAGGAUCUAAGUGUAAAAAUAAAUAAAUAAAACAAACAACUGGAGAAAAAGGAAAAUGAUUAGGUUCGGUUUAGAUUGCAAUUUUCUGAAAUUUUUGUAGAAAAUAUAUUGUAGCGAUUUGAUAUAUAUGAGAUAAAAAAAUGAUUGAAAAAUGUGUUCACUAAAAACGUAGAAAUUAUUUGAUAGAAAGUUGCUUUCCAAACAAGGUUAUUCUUGGCCUGGUCCCAGAAAAAUAAAAUCCAAACCAUUCAUCCACGUGGUAAAAAUGGCGAAAUUGGAUAGAUUAAUGUGAAGAUUUUUUGGAAUAUGCUUCUUAGAUGUGUCUAGACUCUGUAAUGACUUUUCAAAGCAAGUGGUCUUUUUUGGAAUACUUGGCCAUUUUUUAGAGAAUGCUAUUAGUCUUCGAAAUGGUUAUUGAGCUCCAACAUUUACAAAGGAGAAUAUGAUCUGCAUAAUUUUGAAGUUAUACCCUUGCGGUCCUUAACCGCAUAUUUGGUCAUCGGUCGAACAGGAAAAAGAAUCACCAGUUGGCGUCCUUGUUAAUUCCAGGACAAAACUGAUGAGAAUCAUACUUUUCUGAUCAAAGUUCAAACAAAAAAGAAGGUGCGUAGACACGAGCGAAACUGAUGUAAACCCGAUUUAAGUAUGCAUGCCUCAUAUGGCGAGGGAAAAUCCAUGGAAUUUUGAUUUUCUUUUUUGCUUAAAUGACUAAAAGUGUUCUAAAAUAUAAUUUUGAUUGCUAUUAUGGAUUAGUGGAUUUGAAAUUGAGGGAAUGAAUUUCAAAUGACAGAUUUGAAUUCCACAGAAUUUAAAUUACCUUGUUCACUUCAUAAUAACUUUAGACAAUUAACAAAAAAAAAAAAAAGACUUGGAGUACAAUCAAAAUAACUGACAAGUUCUAGGCUUAAAUAUUAAAAUUCCAUUUUUGUGCCUCCUUUAUCAACAUUAGUGUCAAAUUGAAUUGGUAUUUUUAGGAGUUUUGUAGAAAAAUAUAUCAUAACGAUUUGAUAUGUGUUAGGUAAAAAGUUGAUUAAAAUGCGUUCGUAAAAAACGUAAAAAUUUUUCUGUGAAAAAUCAGAAUCCAAACUGCCAUCUUCAGCAAAUCGGCACACAAUAACCGUUGUUUCUUCCCUCUAAUUUCUUCUUCAUUUUGGAGAUCCUUCUAUCAUUUUUAUUUGUAAGAAGGCAUUAGAAUUGUAAGACUUCAUUUUGUAAAUUAAAUCAUGGGGGCUGAAUUGAGAUUCUGAAAUACGGAGAGGACUACUUUGGCAAUGUUCGGUACAUCUUUUUCUUUAUAAUUAUAAUUAUUUUUCUUUUUUUGGGGGAAGGCGUUAUUCGACUCAUUUUGACUUUGUCCAAGUUUGUCCUUUUGUCCCAAGCAUUUUAUUGAGGUGUUGAUCCAUCGCCGCUAUUUCACAGUCACCGGAAAUCCUCACACCCCAUUUACCCCAAAUUGUGCAAAUUUCAAGCACUACCAAUAUUCAGCCCACAAAUUAAAGUAAAAACAUGGACAAAAGAGAAAGUGAGACUCUAUUGAAUCAAAUUAAAUGAGGAAAAGACUCUCAGACAAACCAUAACAAUUCAACAAAUCAAGAUUAGAUGGCUUCUUUGUAACUUGCCAUAACCACCAAUAGACACCCAUUCAUUCUAGUUAUAGACGAAGAUGCCGCAUUUGCAAAAGGGAAUAAUGCGCCAACUCAUUGCCCCAAAAACCAAAUCCUCGUGCCAUUAAAAUAUUGCUUCCUCACCAUCACUGUGGUUCUCCAAAUAACCCUCUAUCUCCUACCACUAAGAAAAGUAUCCAUUUGGAUUUUUAUUUUCUGGAGUUUCUGUAAAUAUAUAUAUAUAUAUUCUUGCGAUUUGAUAUGUGUGAGGUGAAAAGGUAAUUAGAAAAUGUAUUUAUGAAAAAUAUACAAAUAUUUUGGGAGAAAAUGUCUUUCCAAAAUAAAACUCAUUCACUUGUUAAUUUGGCUUGUUAUUUUCUAAAGAAAAGAAUUUUACGUUUUUCGUCAAUGCAUUUGUCAAUCACUUUUUUUUUAUAUAUCUUACAUGCAUCAAAUAGUUGUGACACAUUCUUUCUUUCUGGGAAGACUUCAAAAAAUAGCAAUCCAAAUGGGUUAAAAUCAACAAAAAUAAAAAAAUGUAAAUACAAAUUAACUACAUGUAAAUCCAUUCACCGUAUAAACACCGAAACACAAAUUAACUAAAAUCAAUGAAAAAUAGUAAAAGACAAUAAAAAUUAUAUGAUAAGACCUAAGAGUGAAUAUGUAACACAUGAAAAUGAAAGGGGGAAAAAAUAAUCAAUAAAUAAGUGCAAAUAAUAAAUACUAGAAAGGAAAGAAGGAGGUCGGUUCCUUGCACCCAACGUAUCUCUUGGUUUUGCCUCGGACUUUGGUUCGGAAUUUGCUCGUGUAUAUGACUUUGAAAGGAUAAGAACAACCCUACCCCCUCUACUCCCCACCUCCACCCCAUUCCCAUACCAGACCCCUUCCCUCCCUCUUUCUCUACAACUUUCUCUACAAGUACCCUCCUCCCUCUCUCCGCCUCCACUUUCUUAACCCCUCUCCUUAACCCAACAAUCUCUCUCUCUCUCUCUACACGAAAUCGCUCAAACACUUACACGCACAACACACACUAGAAUAAAAACAGCACUCCUCACCCAAGAGAAGUCCAUAAAUGCAUUCAGUAGAAGAAGAAAAUUAGUCCACUCUUCUUUAGACAUAUUGCAACUACUGGUAAGAAGAAGAAAAGAAACCUUGCUUAGGCAUUUGCUACAAAUCAUCGAAACUUUCAAGCUGGCGAUCGAAAAUCAAGAAUCAACUGUUCCCCGCGAAUUCAAGCCCAAAAACAGACGCAUCAUGGUAUUGCCAUUUUUCAAUACUAACUGAAUUUGUACAGCAAUCUUGGAGUUUUUUUUGAGAAAAUGGGAAUUUUGCUCUGUUUUUGGCUGACUUUUCUGGUCUUGGUUUCUGGUAGGGAGCUGGAGGGCCUGACGAGGAGGAUAACAGAUGGCCACCGUGGUUGAAGCCUUUGUUGAGGGAACACUUCUUUGUCCAAUGCAAAAUGCAUGCUGAUUCUCACAAGAGCGAAUGCAAUAUGUAUUGCUUGGACUGUAUGAAUGGGGCUCUCUGUUCUCUCUGUUUGGCCUCUCACAAGGACCAUCGCGCCAUUCAGGUUUGAUUUCAACGAUUUUUGGUGGAAUUUCUUUGGUUUUUCCUCCUUUUUUACCCAAUUUUGGCAUCUGGGCUUCUGCCAUUUUUGUCAAAGUUGCAGCUUUUUGUAUCAGUCCUCCUCUUUUUGCUACUAAUAGCAUUAGAAAGAAAAUUCCCAAAUCCUUCAAUUUCCACCUUUUUCUAGUAUUGUCCAAUUUCUUUACAAUAAUCUUUUAGCUUCAUUUCCGCAUCCCUUUUCAGUUUUUGAACCGUUGACUUCAGAAAUGGCAUUUUUGUAUUCAAUGUGUUGAGUCAUUUUUGUUUCACUGCUGAUGAAUGUAUCGAUUUGAAUCAGCCUAAAAGGGUUGAAUGUGUAUUGACGUCCGGUGCUGUUUUUGUGUGUUUUUUUUUUUUUGGCCUGAUGAUGAACAGAUAAGGAGGUCAUCCUACCAUGAUGUGAUCAGGGUGAAUGAGAUUCAAAAGUAUUUGGACAUCUCAUCGGUUCAAACCUACAUUAUCAACAGUGCCAAAGUCGUGUUCUUAAAUGAGAGGCCUCAGCCUAGGCCUGGCAAAGGCGUCACCAAUACUUGUGAAGUCUGUGAGAGAAGCCUUCUUGAUUCCUUCAGAUUCUGCUCUCUUGGCUGCAAGGUAAAUGUCCAUCAAUUUCCAUUGGAACCCAGGAUCCUUUUCCAUUAUUAAUGUCAUCCCAAAAGUUGAAUUGUUCCAAUCAAAUAUGGGUGUCUCUGAGAUCAAUGGGCAGAGUUUCUUGUAAAUUGUGAAAUUGAUGAAUGACAUUGGAGGCUAUUUUGGCAUUAACGCUAAAGUCAAGAUUUUUGGUAAUUUGUAAAGACCAAAAAGAAUUGAAUAGUAGUCAUUGUUUUGAUUAAUAUAAACUUGAUGGUUGGUUUUGAUUUUUUUCAGAUUGUGGGGACAUCCAAGAAUUUCCAGAAGAAGAAGAAGCAUUCCCCUGAGAAGAAAAGGGCGGCACUGAUGGCGGCAGCUUCUGAUUCUGAGGACUCCUAUAGCAGCAGCAGCCAUGGAGGAAGGCACAAGAGCCCGAGCAGUAGCAAUGGGAAGGUUCAGAGCUUUAGUCCAUCAACCCCACCUCCAACUGCUGUUAAUUACAGAACAGCCAAGAGAAGGAAGGGAAUUCCCCACAGAGCCCCAACUGGAGGAAUAGUUAUUGAAUAUUAGCCCCUGCUUAUAUGUCUUAAUUAGCUUAAUACCCCAACAACUUAUACUACACCUUAGAUAUCAGAAUGGUACUGGUCAGGAGGUCCAUUCCAAACAGCUAUAGUGCUUUUUCACCUCAAAAAGGCCAAUGUUUGGAGGAGUUCAGCUUACUCUUAUUGUACAUAGAAGCAGCCGCUAAUAGAAAUAUGGUGGAAGUAGAUGUGGGGGCGCAAGUGGGAAUAAGAACAAUGUGGAGGACUAAAGGGUGAAAACAGAAGUUAGAAGAACUUUUGGACUUAGAAAAUAAGCUAUUAUAGACUAUAGUUUGAAUAUGAAAUACAGUGGCUUUAAUUUAAGGGAGUGAUUAUAUUUUUUUUUUACAUUUUUUUUUUUAAUAUUUCUUAAUAGUUUAUGGUAAAGAUGUAAAUAUGGUUUUGUAGUAGGGUUAGCAAUGGGAUAACAAUGUACCCCUUGAAAAUACUUUUAUGCUGUUUAUAUAUGGAAUGGAAUAAUAUUUUAUAAUGUAAUUUUUUUUUUGAAGAAAAAAA